rnacentral:lncRNA from 1 species
CCCUCACUCGCCCUCGAAUUCAUGUCUCUCUUCAUCGCCAAUGGCAAUGGUGCGGGAGGCAGAAUCCUCUACACCAACCCCACGAGACACCACCCUUACACCCACACUCCAUGCCGUCCUCAUUUCCUGUUUCCACUCAGAAGAUCACCUCAAGAUCGCCUCCAUAUAGUCUCAGCUUCCAACAAGAAACUUUCCUCUGUCUCUAGAAUUGGCAAGUUUGACAGCAAGAACAGGAGGAGCUCAACUACUUCGACCAAAGAACAAGAAGAGAAUAAAAGGGAUGGUAGUGGUGGUGAUGCAAAUGUUAAUGGUGAAGUUAAAAAUGUUAGUACAAGUGUUGGUGAGAAUUAUGAUGGCUAUUUCUUGCCAGAGCUUCCUGGGGAUGAGACUGAUUUCUGGGAAGGUCCACAGUGGGAUGGUCUUGGCUUCUUCGUGCAGUAUAUGUGGGCUUUUGGUAUUGUUUUUGCGGUAUGAUAUGCUUGUCUACUUUUAUAUUUUGUUCAAGUUUUGUUGCUCUUGUUUCUGGCUUUCUGCUGUUAAUUAUAGUUAUUUGCCUCAUAUGCAUGGUAAAUUUCCAUUUUCUUCUCCUAUGCUAUUGACGGGGUGAAUCUAUUGACCACUAGAAAUUUAAGCUGAAUCUCGUUAUAGUCAUUUGAGUGUGGAUUGUUUCUAACCUUGCCCAACAAACUGUGGGUAAAGAAAUUUUCGUUUUUAGACUUGAGAUUCUGAGUAUUGGUUGUACUUUCGAGAAUGAUUACUUAAGUUGUUAUUAUAUGUGAUCUAGGAACUUUUUGUUCUCUGUCCCUGUUAUGAUCUCAGAUAUCUCAUGCAAUUGCAAUUACAAUUAUCAACUAAUUAUAGAUAUACUCUAACAAUUCUUAUAAAUCAAUGGGUAGAAGAUUUUUUGAAUGGUUUCAAGUUGCUGCAAAUUAAUACUCCAUUUGUGUAUGAAUUUAGGAUACAUUUGGUAUUAUGUAAUGAAAUGUAAUGUAAUGGAAGAAGAAAAGGGUGAUCCUUUGUUUCUUUAAUACAUUUGAUUGUGUUUUCCUUUUACCGGUGCAUGAUCUGGCUAAUAUGGAAAGAAAAAUGGAAAACGAAUACGAAGAGAAGAUACAGAUAGAGAAAUGUUUUUGGAUAUUCGGGGAUAGAAUUUUCUAACACGGAAUACUAGUUUUCUUGCUAUUUGACUAGCUAUGACCAAGGUUAUGAAAGUUUUCUUCUUUAUUAUUUCUUUCACUUCCGAAAGAAAAGAAUAAAAAGAAUAAGCACAUGGAAGCUGAAAACUAUCUCUGCUUGACCUCUGUUCAUGUCAAGCUUACGAUGGCUGAGAACCCUUAAUUCAGUUUGGAUAGUGAAAAAUUUGAAGCUACUUCUUAUAUAAGCCUAUAUGUUCUAGACUUUUGGCUUGCAGCUUUAAUUGGUGUGAAUGAUUUCUGCUAGAUCUCCAGUAGUAGAUUCCUCUCUCAGUUUAGAUUAGUGGAAGUAGUUUCCUUGUUACUCUUUAGGGCUAAUGUUCUACUUAUCUUUGUCAGCUAGUUGCAUGUGGGAUUGCCGUGGCUACGUACAAUGGAGGGGCAGCAGAUUUUAAGGAGACACCUGCAUACAAAGAGUCAAUCCAGUCGCGGGAUCUUUUAGAAGAACCUGAAGCAUCUAAUUCUGAUGUCUUUGACUCCAAUCCAACUGAGGUGGCACCUAGUUUGGAAUAGUCACUCUAUAAUGAAUGUGAAGAAUCUCCACUUCUGGACUAUGAUAUAGAUCCUACAAAAGAAUGUCCUUAAUUGACAAGGUAAUGCUUCUAUUUUGUAACUUUUCAAAUGUAUGUAUGUAAUUAUUUUGUGAGAUAUUAAUACAGAAAAAUUCCUAGUAUGAGUUCAGUUUACUAGCACACACUAUAUUUUUGUGUGGUUGUCUGAAAUUCUCUCUUUCAGUUUCUAAGCAAGUCUUCUGAUUUGCUGAACUUGGAAAGAGUUUUCAACUGAAAACUUGAGAGUUGAUAGGAAGGGGGGGUUUGACCUAAUUCUUCCAUUCGUAACUAGAGAAACCAUCUGGGAAAUUAUUUGGAAUAGGACUUUUGGGAAGAAAUGGUUAAAGACUCGGCAUUUUCAAGAUAGUCAAGUUGUAUGUAUAUGCACGUCCAUUCGUGGCAAAGAAAAGAAGCAGCUGUUAGCUCAAAGUAGCGUCCGCAGUCUCUCAAGUAAGGGAAAAAACUCAAAGUGGAAUGGGAAAAUCAUAUUGAUACUUUCAUCUUGACAAAAAAAAUUGCUAGGUAAUUUCCGGCAGUUCUCUUUGUUCGUUGUCUACCUACUACUCGAAUGUAUUUUCAUAGACGACUCCUGCUCACUCUGAGUGAUAAGUGGCAUUUUGGGUUGAGGUGGUAUUCAAGGUUUCAUGUCUUAUGAUUAAAUUAUAGCAACCGUGUAGUUUGGCUGCGAUUUCAUGAUUGCAUAGCGUUCUGCAAUAAAAUCACUGGAGGUUAAAAAAUGCCGUUCAAGCACUUACCUUUUACACUCCAAACUGGUUAACCUUUCUAAUACAGGUGCAAUCAUCCACAAGAAACAACUGUUUAAAACCAGUACUGUAUUAUCCCAAAAACUAAGACUAAGAAUAUCAAUAUAGAAUAAACACAACAGGCUUAUUAUUAACCUAGACCCAACGAAAUGCUUUUGAUAAAGAAAUGAGUGCCAGAGUCACCAGAAGCAUCAAAGAACCUUCUGCCUCCAACUUAACACCAGUACUCCGAUGAAAUCCGAUUCCCAUGAUGGAGGAUCUCGGCUCCCCUUCAACCACAGGAGAAGCUGAGUUCCAAAAGAAAACAAGAAGCAUGGUCAGGAAAGAAAAAUAAAAUACCAGACUCAGAUUGUUAAUAAAAUCAAUUUCUACUUCUAAACAUUGAUAAGGGGACCAUCAUUCUGUAAUGCUAAAAAAGGGUUCACCUAAGAAUGAAAUAUAUGGAUGCAAAGCCAAAUUAAUAUUAUAUAUACCAGCAAAAGAAUAGUCGGUGUGUGUCCCAACAGAAGAAUUGGAGGGUGCUCCCGGGAAAACUUGAGAAGCAGGUGGACUAGAGAGGACCUGAGGGGCCCCUGAUUCACCAAGAAAUUGCGAAGUUUUAGCACACGUAGUGGUAAAGAAAAUUCAUAAUGAGAAAAUAAAAGAAAAAAAGUGAAAUCUUUCUAGUCUUGAAAAUGGGAUUUGAAUAUGGUAAAGAACAACAGCCUCUAUGAUCUAGAAUGUUCAGAAUGAAUAUUAUAUACCUGAACAGGCAGCAAUGUUAAUUUGCACGUUGCAAAGAGCAGGCAGCUCCAGGGCUAAGGUGCGAUUAAUUGGGAAAGAGCUCAAGUUGGUGUCUUUGAGCAAGAGGCAAAGGCAACCAGGCUGCUCUUGGUAGAGUUGGUUGAGGUUGUCACAGCAAGGUUGAACUGGUGUCUGAGCCAUGCCUUGAACAAACGGGGCACAUGGGGCCAGUGGCAGCAGCCUUGGAGUGCAAUCAGUUACUGUUGGGUCAGUGGGGAUGGGGGAAUUUUGUGAGAGGAUUGUGGGUGGAAGGGAAAUGAGAAGAAGCAAAACUAGUGAAGUAAUUGCAAUGGUAGGAGGCUCAGAGUACAGAGAGGCCAUGAUGUGCUGUUUUGGAUAGAAAAUCUAGGGUUAGAAAGAUGACUAAAUAAGCUGAGAGUGCAUUUUGAGUGUGAGUUGUUACAUGCAUGGUGUGUGUUCUACAUGCUCUUCUUGUUCAUUUCUUCUACCUAACCAGCUGUACAUCAAAAUUCAAGAUAAUAUAUAUGAGAUAUCUUGAAAGACUAGAAAUUGGCAUGUUUGAACCAAUUGUCUUGCUAGUGCAAGUUCCGAAUGACAUGAUCAUGCUAGCUGUUCUUACCAUAUCUGCAUUUCAUCUUCUUCCUUCAAAAUGAAACUGGAUUAAUAAUGCCAUUUAUUACAAUUCACAGCAAUGCUUAUAGGUAGAGAGUUUCCCCCUAUGCUAUUUUUUUUUAUUAUUAUUAGAAUGUAAGUAUAAAUUAAGAUUAAGGGAUACCAUACUGGAAAACCAGCAAGUUCAGAUACAUAUACAAAUUAGGAACAAGAUCUCAAGCAAAAAAAUAUCGGGAAUAGCCGGGUCAUGCAUACAUAGACCAAAUAACCAGACAGCAAAGAGAAACAUAUAUUUUAUACACAAAGAACAUAUAGGGAACAAGCUCGUUAUACAGGGCCAAAACAAAAAUGUGCAGGAAAGUUUUAAAAAGAAACCACAUAGUGGAGGUGUCUAAGCUAACCCAACCAGUAGCGCAAGCCAACCAAAAUCCAUAUCAAAACCCAGACUCCAAAGGAGCCAAAAGCAAAGUCGAGCAGCUGGCUAGCAGAGACCACCAAGCUGAUCAACAAAGACAGAGGGAGCACAUCAAAUAGCAAACCACCUUCCAGUGAAAACCAGAGCAUCCAGCAAACAGAGGAUCGGGCGCUGGAAGAAGCACCCAUCAGCAUAAAACAACAAGAACGUCAGCAAACCAUGUGACAAACAGACCAGAAGAGAAAUAAUAGACAAGUAGAAGAGACUCUCCCAACCAUUCCCAGAACCCUAGAAAAAGAGUAGGAAUCAGGAACAGAUGAAGUUGCAGACAUCCCAGACAAGCAGAGAAACAUCAUAGCUAGAAGCAGCGAGAAAUAUCCACAACAACAGGAGACACAAAAGCAGAAAAGAGGAAGACAUUAAGUUUUCAAAGAGGCCAGAAAACAGAUAACCAAAUCCCAUGUGAAGACAUUCCAGGGCUGAGCCUAAAACACUAUAAGCUAAGGGAUUAGAUUCAUUGAAGUACAAAAUUGUGUAGAAGAGAAUCUGAAACUUGCGGAGCAAAUAAUCAACAGAUUUAUUAGUAUUGUCAAACACUCUUCUGUUCCGUUCUCCUCAGAUCAGAUACACAACCAAGGCUAGAGUAACUCUAUGCAUUCUUGACUGCUGCUCCUUCCUGUUUGCAUUAAGACCUUAGAGAGCACUAUUCAGAGUAGCCAUGCUCCUAUUGAUCUGCAACCAGGACUUAACCUUCCUCUAGAAAAGGGUAGUCCAAUCACAAGCAAAGAAAAGGUGGUUGUAGUUUCAUCAUGUUGAAUACAGAGAGAACAAAUGUUGUCAGACAAAGCAAGCCUUAGUCUGUCUUUUGUUUUCAGCCUUCAAAGCACAACUAACCAUAGGAUGAAGCUGUGACGGGGCAUUGAUCAUUGCUGCCAAAUUACAUGGCACCAUUGAAAAGGGACACUCUUAAAUCUGAAAUGUUCAUGAGCACUAGCAGAGAAGUAUCCCAAAUUAUUCUGUAAGCAUUGAAGCAUACUAACUACUUCAACAAUGCCACUAUAAUCACAAACCAGCUGAUCUUUUAGGGGAAAAAUAGACUUCCAGAGGGGAGAAGAAGUUUUCUGGAGCUUAGAAGUCCAUAAUAUGUGAAGAGGUAAGUAGUAAUGAUGAACCCAUCGAAUCCAAAGAGAGUAAGUAGUAACACCCCCCUGCGCUAUUUAAUCAUACUACUUGUUUAAUUAUAUAUAUAAAGAUAAAAUAUUUUAUAGUCUAGAUCUCAUCCAUACAAAUUACAAGUAAAUUAAUUUUGAUCAAAUCCAAUACUGAAUAUUGAAUUUUCAAAACAAAAAAUAUGCGGCGCUAAGGUAAUUGUAAAUUAAUGAAAGAAAAACAGAAUUUGAUGGAAUAUCAAUUAUUAUUGAUUGCAUCAUAUAUUUAUACAAGAGUAUAUACAAUCAUUCUCAUCUAUUGGGAAUCAAACACUUCUUCACAAUUCAUUAUCAUAUAGACUUAGCAUUACAAUAGGGAACUCAUGCAUACAAGUUAUCCAUUACUAGUAUAUAGUUGAGAGAAUUCCUAACACUCCCCCUCAAGUUGGAGAGUGGAUAUCUUGCACUCCUAACUUGUCAAUCAUAGGAAUGAAGACAUCUUUUCCCAAGGGCUUGGUGAAGAUGUCUGCCAAUUGAUGUUCAGAAUGAACAUGUCUUGUUAUCACAUAACCAUCUUGGAUUUUGUCCCUUAUAUAGUGGUAGUCCAUCUCAAUAUGUUGUGUGUGCUCAUGAAAAACUAGGUUGACUACAAUAUAUAAUGCAACCUUGUUAUCACAAUGUAGCAAAGCAAGUUCAUGAUGUAAAAGUCCCAAAUCCCUCAACAGACAUAAGAGCCAUGUCAACACACAACAUGCUCCGGUCAUUGCACGAUACUCUGCCUCUGCACAAGAGCGUGAGACUAUUUUCUGUCGUUUUGAUCUCUAGGAUAUCAAUAAGGGUCCAAGGAACACACAAUAAUCCUUGAUAGACCUCUAAGUUAGUUGGCAACCUGCCCAAUCUGAGUUCGAAUAGGCUCUUAAUCUGUAAUCAGUGUGUGAAGGAAAGAACAAUCUUUGAUCAGGUGCCCCUUUCAGAUAUUGAACAACCCAAAGAGCAGCUUCCAUAUGAAGCUUUCGGGGUUGGUGUAUAAAUCUGCUCAAAACAUGCACAACAUAAGUAAUAUUUAGUCUUGAAAUAGUCAAAUAAAUCAAUCUACCAACAAAUCUCCUAAAAUGACCUAGAUCUUUGAGCAAGUCGCUUUUGUCUGAUAAUUUUAAACCACGUUCCAUAGGUGUAUCAAUAGGGUUGUACCCAACAAUCUUGCAUCCUCAAUAAUUUCCAAUGCAUAAUUACAUUGAGAAAUGAAAAUUUUAUUCUUAGAAGCUGAAAACUCUAUACCAAGAAAGUAUUUUAAGGGGCCAAGAUCUUUAAGGUGAAAAUGACUAUGCAUAAUUUUUUUUGUUAGAGCAAUACUGUCAGGAUCAUUUCCAAUAAUCAAAAUGUCAUCAACGUAUAUUAAAAGGACAGUGAAGGACUUAUCUCGUUGUCUGGUGAACAAAGAGUGGUCGACCUGAGAUUUUUUGAAUCCAACAAAGCAAAUGGCUUCAGAGAACUUGGUGAACCAUUGGUGUGAUGCUUGUUUCAGCCUGUAUAAGGACUUAUGGAGAUGACACACCAAGUCUUCCUCCCCUUGUUGAAAAAGCCUUGGUGGCGGAGACAUAUAAAUCCCCUCUAAUAGAUCACUAUGAAGAAAGGCGUUGUGAACAUUCAAUUGAUGGAGGGUCCAACCGCGAGCUACAGCCAAAGCAAGCAAGCAAGCAACGAACACAUACAAUUUUGGACAUCUACUUGAAACCAAGGUUUGUUCUCUUGAUAGUUUUUUAUUUAAUUAAUUUAGCUUGAUUGUUUAAUUAUGCUAUAGCGUAGAUAACCUCAACCCUCCCCCCCAAAUUGCAUAUCGUCUAGCAUAAAAAUCUGAACUAAAUCUUCCUCGUGGGAUCAACCUCUUGCUCUAUAUUAUCUUGUUUAUUUAAGCUAGGGUAAUUAACUUGUAUGAUCAUGGCAUUGCAAUAAAUAUCGGCGUCGUUGUCAGGGAAGUGAUUUUAAUUGAUUUUUAUGUUGUGAUUGUUAUUUAUUUUGUUAAAAAAGAAAAUAAAAAAGAAAAAUAGUGUGCAAUACUAUUCUCUUCAGGUAUUGUUCAAAAUAGAAUUGUUGGUGGAAUUAGGUCUCGGCAAUUUGUUUCCUGAAGGAAAAUGAUAUUUUGAACAAGACUAGUCGCCUUUGGCCACUAGUCCCACCCUAUCGAGGCCAAAUUCCAUUGUUUUCUAGGGUUUUUAGGCAUUAUUUGUGUUUUAUCGUUGGAGUUUUCAUUACUUUAAUUAUCUCAUGUGGUUCAUUUCUUUUUUAGUUUUCUUGAUGAUUUAUAUCUGUAACCCAAUCUACUAACCAAAGACAAAUACAGGUAGACCUCGAAAUAGAGAGCACUUUAUGCAGGUUAUGAAAGGAAGCUCGCGUCAACACUGUGGUUGUUGCACGAUAAUAGACACUCAAGGAGCUGGUUGCUCCUAACAUGAAGAAUCAACCAUUGUGCAUAAACAUCGACAAUAAUACCAACUUCGAGCCCAAGUCUUGUUUUACACACUUACUACCAAUAUUUAAUGGAGUUUCUAGAGAAGAUCCUCAUACUCAUCUCAAAAAGUUCAAAUGGUUUACUUUGGCAUGUAAUCGCACGAAAUUGAUGAAGAAUAGGUUAAGUUGAAAGAUUUUCCUUUCUUUUUAAAAGGGAUAGUAACGACAUGGCUUUUCUCUACUCUCCCUAGUUCCAUUGGAAAUUGGAAUGACAUGAAAGAGAUUUUCCUUGAAACGUAUUUCCCAACCUCUCGAGUUGCCAACAUAAGAAAAUAAAUAUGUGGGAUUCGGCAAUCUCAUGGGGAGACACUCUCCUUGUAUUGCGAAAGAUUUGAACAACCAUGCAUUCAAUGUCCUCAUCAUCAAAUACUUGAUCAACUGCUCAUUCAAUAUUUCUAUGAAAGACUGAGGCCUACUGACUACAGUAUCAUUGAUGCGGUAGGUGGAGGGGCAUUGGUAGAUAAAACACCUGAGGCUACACACCAAUUGAUUUCAAUUAUGGCAGCCAACUUGAAACAAUUUAGCAUGCGUGGAGAUUCCCCAAGCAAAUGAGUAAAUGAGGUAACUAUUGCUAACCUUGAGAAUAAAGUUAUUGAUCUUACUUCUCUUAUGUGUUCUUUGGCUUGGGGAAUUAUACAGCAGAUGAAAGUUUUUAGCAUAUGCUCAUUACAAGGACAUGCUUCAGAUAUGUGCCCAACAAUGCAAGAAGAUUACAUUGAACAAGCUAAUGUAGUUGAUGAAGCAUUAAAUGGAUAACUCUAGUGUAAAUAUGAUCCCUUUUCUAAUACGUAUAAUCCUAGAUGGAGAGAUUAUUUGAACUUACGCUAUGGGAACAUGUCUCAACAUGGGAAUCAAGGCCGACAGUUCCACCCCCAUAGAUUUCAGCCCUAGCAGAAUUAUCAAGCUAGACAACCCCCUCCUGCAUUUACAAACUCCAAUGUUAUGGGGUCAUUGAAUGAUGAUCUUUGUGAGAUGAUGAAAACCUUAGCUUUUAACAUAGUGACCUUGCAAUAGAAUGUCAUGUCUUUUCAAUAGGAAACAAAGUCAAUUAUUCACAACUCAGAGAAGUAAAUCGGGCAAGUAGCUUCAAGUGUAGGGAAAUUAGAAGCACAAAUGAAUGGAAAAUUGCCCUCCCAAGCAUUAAAUCCAAAAGAGAAUGUUGGUGUGAACUCAACAUUCCUUGAUUAAUGCUAUCAAGAAAAUUCCUAAGUAUGCCAAAUUCUUAAAGGAGCUGUGUAUUACCAAGAGAGCUUACAAGCUAAAAGGCUACGAAACGGCAAGUAUAGGUGAAGUUGUAUAUGCUGUUAUUCAAGAAAAUCUACCUUUAAAGCAAAAAGACCUGGGUGUGUUUACUAUCUCAUGUGUUAUUGGUAAUGCUAGUUUGAAAAGGACCUUAUGAGAAUUAGGUACAUCCAUUAGUGUUACGCCUAAACAUGUUUAUGAUUCUCUUAGUCUUAAGCCUUUAAUUAAAACUAGUAUUGUAAUACAACUUGUGGAUCAUAUUUUUAUUUAUCCACUUAGUGUGAUAGAAGAUGUCCUAGUCAAGAUUGAUAGUUUGAUUAUUCCAUGUGACUUUUAUAUUCUUGAUAUGAAACAUGAUUCUUGUGAUUCCUCAAAUAACAACACUCCUAUAUUGUUUAGAAGACCAUUAUUAAAAACUACCAAUACUAAAAUUGAUUGUGUUAGGGAUACUUUGUCUUGGGAAGUAGGAGAUAAAGUGAUUGAAUUUAAUUUUUAUGAUGCAAUGAAUUAUCCUUACAACAAUGUUUAUUUCACAUGCUAUGACCAAGUUGAUAAGUGCGUGCAACAAGUUUUUGAUUUGAUUGUGAGGACAAAUUAAGAUUGGUUUUGAGUUAUGGCUAUGAUUUUACUGAGAUAGAAGAGAUGGAAAUGCAUAUAUAUGUUCCCCAAAACGUUCAAGAAUCAGUCUUGGCUUUGUAAGCUUUACAAACAACCCAAUGUGGUAAUGUCUUUAUUUAUUUAGUACUUUCACAUAAAAGCUAUUGCCAUAUAUUUUACAGGCAUCCUAGUUAGAAUUAAAACCUUUGCCUGAUAACUUGAAGUAUGUAUUCAUUGGCGACAACAAUACAUUUCAUGUUAUCAUAGUCAAAGGUUUGACAAGUGCGUAAUAGAAAAAAUUUGUGAAGUUGUUGUGCAAUCACAAAACAACCAUUGGAUGGACUUUAGCCAACAUCAAAGGUAUUAGUCCCUCGAUGUGUAUGCAUCAUAUACUAUUAGAGGACAAUGCGAAACCAACAAGGGAAAUGUAAAGGAGGUUGAACCCACCUAUGAUGGAGAUAAUGAAAGCUGAAAUUUUGAAACUAUUAGAUGCAUGAAUCAUUUACCUUAUCACAGAUAGUAAAUGGGUGACACUAAUCCAUGUGAUGCCCAAAACGACCAGAAUCACAUUCAUAAAGAACAAAAAUGAUGAACUCAUUCCUACUUACAUCUCAAGUUGUUGUAGAAUGUGUGUUGAUUAUAAAGAGCUUAAUCUUUCUAUACGGAAGUGUUGAUCACUUCCCAUUACCAUUUAUAGACCAAAUGCUUGAGCGUCUAGCAAGUAAAUCUUUUUAUUGCUUUCUUGAUGGAUAUAAUGGAUAUAAUCAAAUUGUUAUUAAUUAUGAGGAUCAAUAAAAGACUACAUUUACAUGUCCAUUUGAUACAUAUGCAUAUAGGAGAAUGCCCUUUGGUCUCUGUAAUGCAUCCACAACUUUUCAAAGAUGCAUGAUGAGUAUUUUUUUUACUAUGUUGAAAAAAUAAUUGAGGUUUUCAUGGAUGAUUUUCACAGUAUAUGGUGAUUCUUUUGAUAAGUGUUUAGAAAGUUUAUAUUUAGUCUUGAAAAGAUGCAAUGAAACUUAUCUUGUCUUAAAUUAUGAAAAGUGUUAUUUCAUGGUAGAACAAUGAAUAGUUCUUUGGCAUGUUGUGUCUUCGCAUGGAUUAGAGGUUGAUAAAGCUAAAAUAGACGUUAUCUCAUCAUUACCUUACCCCUCAUGCAUGAGGGAAGUUUCUUCUUUUCUUGGUCAUGCAGGUUUAUAUCGACGCUUUAUCAAAGAUUUCUCAAAGAUUACAGCACCCUUAUGCAAAUUAUUAGCCAAAGAAGUGGAUUUUGUUUUUGAUCAAGCAUGUAAAGAUGCCCACGAUGAGCUUAAGAGGUGUGUCAUAUCUGCCCCCAUCAUACAACCACCAAAUUAGGAUGAACCUUUCGAGAUAAUGUGCGAUGCUAGUGGCCACAUGGUAGGGGUUGUACUAGGGAAAAAAAUAAGAAAGAAUUUGCAUGUUAUCGCAUAUGCUUCUCACAUGUUGGACGGAGCACAAUGAAAUUUUUGCAGUGGUGUUUGCUCUAGAAAAAUUCAAAUCAUAUUUACUUGGUACAAUAUUCUUUUUUUUUUCUUACUAUGCAGCUUUAAGGUAUCUUUUAAAGAAAAAGGAGUCCAAACCAAGAUUGAUUAGGUGGAUCUUGCUUUUACAAAAUUUUGAUCUUAAGAUCAAAGACAAAAAGGGUGUCAAAAACCAUGUGGCUAAUCACUUGAAAUAACUGAAGACCAAAGAUAUACAAACCAAAACAAUAAGAGAGACAUCCCCGACAAGCAGUUGUAUGUGUUACAUUCCUCUACAAUACCAUGGUAUGCUGGUUUGGUGAACUAUUUAGUCACCAAAGAAUUCCCUUUAGGUUUGUCUAAAUCCCAAAAAGGCAAAUUACGAGCUGAUGCUAAAUAUUAUUUUUGGGACACUCCUUAUUUGUUGAAAUUUUGUGUGGAUCAAAUAGUUAGAAGAUGUGUGCCACAAGAUGAAUUUCAUUUCAUUCUCACUUUUUAUCAUUCUCUUCUUGUGGUGGGCAUUUUGGAUUAAAAAAAUGGCCCAUAAGGUACUUUAAAGUGGUCUCUAUUGGCCUUCUACUUUUUAAGGAUGCACAUCACUUCUACAAAUCAUGUGAAAAAUGCCAAAGAACAUGUAAUAUCACUCAUAAGAACCAAAUGCCUUUAACGAAUAUUCUUGUAAGUGAAAUGUUUUAUGUUUGGGGUAUUGAUUUUAUGGGUCCAUUUCCUUCUUCUUUUGGUAAUCUUUAUAUCCUUCUUUUUGUUGAUUAUGUGUCCAAAUGGAUUAAGGCAGACGCCACGUGAACUAAUGAUGCUAAGGUUGUUUUAGAUUUUGUCAAGACUUACAUAUUUGACAGGUUUGGAAACCCUAAAGCUAUCAUUAGUCAUCGUGGCACUUAUUUUUGCAAUCAUUCAAUGGAAGCAUUAUUACGCAAAUACUAUAUGACUCAUCAGACUUCCACAACCUACCAUCCUCAAACGAAUGGCCAAGCUGAAAUUUUAAAUCGAGAAAUCAAGUCCAUUUUGGAGAAAACAGUGCAACCUAACUGGCAAGAUUGGAGUCUGUAACUUAAUGAUGUAUUUUAAGCUUAUCAGGCUGCUUACAAAUCACAUAUAGGAAUGUCAUCAUAUAGGAUGAUUUAUGGAAAAGCAUGUCAGCAACGAGUGAAGCUUGAACACAAAGCUUUUUGGGUCAUUAAACAAUGUAACUUGGAUUAUAAUGCUUCCGGGAUUGCAAGAAAGUUGCAAUUGCAAGAGUUGAAAGAGAUACGAAAUCAUGCCUAUGAGAAUGCAAGGAUUUACAAAGAAAAGACCAAGAGUCUUCAUGACCGAAUGAUUACAGGAAAUGAGUUUCAUGUUGGAGACAAAGUCCUUUAUCAUUCAUGUUUAAAACUUUUUCUUGAAAAAUUACGCUCUCGUUGGAUUGGACCCUUUAUUAUUUCUAAUGUUUUUUCUUUAUUAUGCAGUUGACAUUACAAGUUUAAAAACAAACAAAGUGCUCAAGGUCAACGGCCAUUAAGUGAAAACUUUUUAUGAAGGUUGGACGACAAAACUCAUCGCUUCCGUGGGGUUAGCUGAACCGAUCAUGAGGCAUGAGCAUGUGAUGUGUCAAGCCAUUGACAUAAAAAUAAAAGCGUUUAUUAGGAGGCAACUAAAAAAAAUCAAAUUUAUUUUCUUUUUCUCCUAUCUUUUAUUUUUCACAUUUUAUUUCAUUUUCUUAUAUUCCUUUUCUUUUAUUUCAAUAUUGAGAAAAUUUUGGUUUUCUUUGUUGUAUUUUUUUUUUAAAUCUAAGUUUUAUCUUUUAAACCCCCAUUGGUUUAUGAGAGAAUAUGAGAAUUAGUUGAAAUAAAUGAAAAUAUAAAUCGAAUGAAUGAGAGUGCAUGAAAGUUUUAAAGUUUAAUUAGUCAAAGGAUUGGCUUUGAAAAUAUGUAAUGUUGACUUUAUAGUGUUGUUCCAAUGCAAGCUUUUGAACCUUCAACAUUAUAUUUUUUUUUACCAUGCAUUCUUUCAAUGAUAUAUAUCUCUAGAACAUGCUUCAUAUCUUGUUGAGAUUACAUUCACAUUACAUGUGUACAUGAAUAUGAUAAAGGUAAUAGGAAUUUUAACCACUUGAGGCAAAAAAGCCAACCUAAAGCAUAUUAUCCUUAGCGAGCCCCUUUUGUUUAUCUUUUCUUUGCUUUACCCAUACAUAAGCCUUAAAUUUUUAUAUGUUUUUCUUUUCCCCUAGCUAAAGAUUAAUAGAGCAUAUACUUAUUGAUAUCUCAUGGGAUUAUGGUUGGAAAGUUGCCAAAAGUGAAAGAAACAAAAAAGAGAAAAAGAAAGGGAAAGGAAAAGAAAAGAAAAGAAAAGUGUUUCAUUGUGUUCUUAAAAUCUCAUGUUGAUGGACCUUGAAAUAAAAAGAAGUUGAGUAUUGGUGCUUAAAGAUGAAAAAUUUGUGUGCUUUGAUGGGAUAUCUUGUUUCAAGAAUUAAUUUUUUAGAAUGCUCUACUUCCUUUGGUUUUAGCCUUUUCUUUUCCUUUCUUAUACCUCACCUUAACCCUAGCCCUAUUACAAAAAAAAAAGUUAGACUUUUUGGUUCAUGCAUUACUUGUAAUAAUUUAGUAAUGAAAAUGAGAUUGAAGAGCAAGCUUAUGGUAGAACAUAUUCAUUGAUUGAAUUUAAGAGAUUCAAACACAUAAGCACUAAACACGUGAGUGUUGGAGUGUAUACCAAUGAGUGGACCUAUCACUUUGGCAUGUCAUAUAUUUCAUUUAAAUCCCAAUGAUUAAUUGAGUUUUGAAGUUCGCAUGUAAACAAAUUCAUGGAAAUUUAUGUUUUUAUCCCUCUUGAUUCUAUUCUAGUUUAUAAUGCAUAUAUUCUUGGACAUUGAUGAGAGAUUAAGAAUUUAGUCAUAGUUAUUUUAUUUAUGUAAUUUAACUUUGAUUUUAUCUCUCUAUUCUCGAAGAUGAGCAACAACUAAGUGUGGGGGUAUUUGAUGCAACCAUAUUAUUCGAUAGUUUUACCUAUAUUUACCUAGUAUUUUACCAAUAAUUUAUAUAUAAAAUACCUUGAUAUUCUUUAUUUUAUGUUUUGAAGACUUUUUUGGCUAUAAGAUUCAAAAGGAAGCAAAUUGAAGAUAAUUGGCAUAUUUGACAUCUAAUCGAUGUUUUGUUCAGAGCUUAAGCUCUAAUGGUCGAAAUAAAGUGAUCCCAGUGGCAUUACCUUUCCAUACAUAUAUGGAAAGAAAAAUAAAAAGAGAAAGAGAAAGAGCAUGGAAAUAACAGCGUUCAAAGACAAAUCUCGCAUUGUACCAGUGUUGACCUUUGACCUUUCUAACUUGAAUAUCUUGAGCUAGAGAAAUCCAGAUGCAAACUCAUUUUUUUUUUUGUAUUCCUAACUCGAAGACCUAUCAUCCUACCAAUUAUCAGCAGAUAAAAAGCUCGUAUGAGAGAGAUAUGAGUUUUAUAAGAGGACAUAUGAAGUCUGUCAACAGACAGGUUUUGUAAGAAACAAGUCCAAAGUACUUCCCAAAGCAUCCAAAUCAACAUCUAAGUCUUUAUUUCGGUAAUUUAUGUGAAACCCUAGAAAAUUUAUGAUUUAAAUAUGCGGAUGUAUAACCUGCCAUGUAAACGUAAGACUGAAAGUGAUAUAUAAUGGAGGGGAUGACCUCCAUAAAAUGAAUUUUGUUUUAGAAUUCAUAAAGACAAAGAAACUGGUAACGUGUUUUGAUGAAUAAAAUAAUGAGAAAAAUGACAAAAUGAAUAUAUUCCAAAAUAAUAAAAUGACCUUAAAGGUUUAGAAGGAUAAUUGAUAUUAUUUUAUAUGAAGAUUGAACAAGAAAAUUUGGAUAGUUGACGAAAAGUCAUAAACUGACCAAUUUUACAUUAGAAAGCAGAGCUCUCAAUCCAAUUGUUGGAUUGGGAUGAAAUUUUGCAUAAAGUCUAUUAAUAUGUUUUCCUACAUUGGUGAAAGAUAUCAUCCCAAUGAAAGUUUGGUAAAGACUAACGAUUUAAGCAGAAACAAACCGAAUGGUUUCCAUGAAAAAAACAAAAACAAAUAAUAUAUAAAUACAUAAAUGAGGGACAUAAAGGUAAUUAGUAAAACAAUGGUGCCUUUAAAAACAGCAAAAGGUCACCAGAUUAAAAAAAAGAAGAGAAAGAAAAACGAAAAGGGGUGAGAGACAAUAGAGAAUUCGGUUACAUAGAGGUGCAAGAUUUGGAUGAACCAAUAAUGCUUCUGUGGUUAUAUCUCUUGAAUCCACCGUUGGAUCAUGUUGAUUUUUGGAUAUAUUGUUCUUAUCACACUCCUCUAUAAACUGACCGGAGGGAUUUGACCGAACAUAAUGUAUUGAGCAGCCAUCAUCAUCGGAAGUGUCCUGGAAAACAAAAGGAAAUAUACCUGCAGGGCAGUUUUGGUCGACGGCCGAUUUCUCUCUCUUCCACCGUUGGAUCGUGCCUAUUUGUGGAUAUGUGGUGCACCUAGAUGUGGUCUACAUUCUGGACGGUGGAGAUCCGAAACACACUCUCCGGCAAGGUUUGGUUCAUGUUGAACAGUAGCUCAUCCAUUUUCAGGUUAGUUCGGUUUUAUUCAGAUCUAUGGACAUCCAACCGUUGGAUUAUUCUGAUUUUGAGAUAUAUUGUACACAACGCAAUGAUAUAUAUUCUGACCGUUGAGUUCAAGGAAAUAAUCAAAGGUGGAUGAGUUGUUGCUAUUUGAAUCUAUUGCUAGUCUUAGUAAAACAUUUAGGAAGCUUGAUUUAAUUACAUGUUUUGAUGAAAUUAGAAUUGUGUGGGUGUAGGGUUUAUGUAAGAUAUAAUGGUAAAAUGUGCUCUUGUUAUUAGUGUUGUUAUAGAUUAAUUGUGUUGUAAAAUGUGUUAGGGAAGUUUUGAAAUUUGGAUGAAGGGACUUUGAGUUUGUUGAUUUAAUGGAUAUAUGUUUUUAGGCAUUAAAAAGGAUUGGGUCUAGUGGUAAUUGAAAGAAAACUUGAAGAAAACUUUAUCCUCCAUUUAAUGCAAAGAUUCGGCCUAGACAUAUAAAUGAGAGGAUGAGCUUAAUUGUUUUAAUUGCUAUGGAAUUUGAGUUGAAUGAGGUUAGAAUAGAUAUGAAAUGAAUUGGUAAAGGUUUAUAUGGAAUAAUUAAAAAGGGAAUCAUCCCUCACCAUGAAUGAAGGCAUUCAGCCAAAUGAAGAAGAAAUAAGGAGAUAAGACUUUGAUUCAUUUUCUAUGAAAACUAGGUAUGGAUACAUAUAUUUGUAUAAAGAAAAUUAGGUAGAGUGUCAAUUGGAAGAAUUUUAAAAAGAUUCAAAUUCUCAUCCUAAUAUGAAAUCCAACCAAAAAUGAAAAUCUUGAACUUGAGUUUAUUCGACCUAAUGUUAUGGGGAUUUUUAUGGGAUUGUGGUUUGUUGAAUGCCAAAUGAAUUGUGUUAUGUUUGAAAUAAUAGAUUAAUGUGAGGAAAAUGUCAUUUUGUGGAAUUUUAACGCUGUCUAAAUGGAUAAUAAAAGAGGAGGAAAAGGUUAAAUUAAGGCGUACAUGGAAUUAUGAUGAAAAUAUGUUGUGAAAUUUACUUAAGAUGAAGUAAAGUGGACUUAUGAAAAAGAAUUGGAAAACUCAUCAUGAAAAUAAAUAAAUAAAAAAUAAGGUCAUUCGGCCGAGAGUUGGUUUGAUAAGGAAAAUGAAUUAGUUUCAAUGGUAUGAAUAAAUGCAAGGAUAUGAUGUUACUAAGUCUGUACAUGAUGGAUUGAGUAGACAAAUAAAAUAAAAUAAAUUAAGAUUGUUAGGUCAUGUUUAAAGAUACUCAAUCUGGAAAAACAAGUCAUGAAAAGAAAGGAAAUAAAUAAAUAAAUAUGCGAAUGCAUGUGUCAUGUGAUUCUAAAUUUAAAUGAAUUUUAGAAUGGAAUUUUCAAUUAUGGUGGAGCCACAUUUGAUAUGUCUCUUAAAUGAUACAGGAGAGAUUGCAAAAUAUGUUCAGUAGCAUGGGACUUUUGCGCGAGUUCAAGCAUUAGGUAGGUGACUUACUCCUUCCUUUUUCAUACGUUGAAUAAUGAAAUUCUUUAACAUGAAUAUUACCAUAUUGUGUUAUAACCGAUAUUAGCUUGUUGAACGCUUAAAUGUUGACAAAUGGUUGAUUAGCUUCGGCUAAUGGCAUCCGAAUGGAUGACCGGGAAGAAGGACUGAUUAGCCUCGGCUAAUGGCAUCCGGAUGGAUGGCCGGAACAAACAAAUGAUUAGCUUCGGCUAAUGGCAUCCGAAUGGAUGACCAGGAUGAAGGAUUGAUUAGCCUCGGCUAAUGGCAUCCGAAUGGAUGGCCGGGACAAAGAAUGAUUAGCUUCGGCUAAUGGCAUCCGGAUGGAUGGGCGGGAAAAAUAAAUGAUUAGCUUCGGCUAAUGGCAUCCGAAAGGAUGACCGGGAUGAACGAUUGAUUGGCUUUGGCUAAUGGCAUCCGAAGUGGAUGACCGGGGUGAGUGAACGGUUAACCUCAACAAAUUAUGCCUUAAGAUUAUGGUUGAUUGUAAAACAAUUAGUGCAUCUAUAUGUACUACAAAUUGUUUAUACCAAGCACAUGAAGAAAUUAUAAACAUGGCUAACAAAAGAAGUUAGCCGGAUGUUGGGAAAUUCAUAUGAAAUUACCGGAUUGACUUUGGCAACCAAGAUGGGUUAGCCAAAUUUAUUUGGUAAUUAAGAGAAUUAUCAGGUUUAUUGGUUAACAAGGAAGUUAACUGGAUAUGGGGUAAUUCGUAUGGAAUUAUCGGAAUAAUUGGCUAACAAAAGAGGUUAGCUGGAUGUUGGGUAAUUCGUAUGGAAUUACCGGAAUAAUUGGCUAACAAAAGAGGUUAGCCGGAUGUUGGGUAAUUCGUAUGGAAUUACCGGAUUAAUUGGCUAACAAAAGAGGUUAGCCGGAUGUUGGGUAAUUCAUAUGGAAUUACCGGAUUGACUUUGGCAACCAAGAUGGGUUAGCCAAAUUUAUUUGGUAAUUAAGAGAAUUAUCGGGUUUAUUGGUUAACAAGGAAGUUAACUGGAUAUUGGGUAAUUCGUAUGGAAUUAUCGGAAUAAUUGGCUAACAAAAGAGGUUAGCUGGAUGUUGGGUAAUUCGUAUGGAAUUACCGGAUUAAUUGGCUAACAAAAGAGGUUAGCCGGAUGUUGGGUAAUUCAUAUGGAAUUACCGGAUUGACUUUGGCAACCAAGAUGGGUUAGCCAAAUUUAUUUGGUAAUUAAGAGAAUUAUCGGGUUUAUUGGUUAACAAGGAAGUUAACUGGAUAUGGGGUAAUUCGUAUGGAAUUACAGGAUUGAUUGACUAACAAAAGAAGUUAACUGGAGGCUGGGUAAUUCGUAUGGAAUUACCAGAUGUACUGGUAAUCUAGGAAGGUUAAAAAAAAAUGUGAGUAAUUAUAUGCACUUACCAUAAUUAUUGGCAACCAAGAUGGGUUAGCCAAAUUUAUUUGGUAAUUAAGAGAAUUAUCGGGUUUAUUGGUUAACAAGGAAGUUAACUGGAUAUGGGGUAAUUCGUAUGGAAUUACAAGAUUGAUUGACUAACAAAAGAAGUUAACUGGAAGCUGGGUAAUUCGUAUGGAAUUACCAGAUGUACUGGUAAUCUAGGAAGGUUAAAAAAAAAUAUGAGUAAUUAUAUGCACUUAUCAUAAUUAUUGGCAAUUGAGAUGAGUAAGGUUUUGAAAAGAGUAUGUGAAUUAAUUGAUUGAAGUUAGAAAUAGUAAAUUCUAAAUGUUAUAAGCAAAAUAAUUAAUAUAGGACUAAGAUAUUGAGUAAAUUACAUAAUCACAAUUACUUGGAGAUUAGAAGGGAAUUGAUAGAUAAUUGGUCACCAUAAUGAUGGUGGCUAAGGGUAUAAAUUGAUACUUGGCACUAUGAUGAGAGUGACGAAGGUUAUGUGAAGGAUGCUUAGUGACCGUAGUGUCGAUAACUAAGAUUGUAUGCAAAUAAUACUUGGCAACCGUGGUUAUAAUGCAUAUGAUGUUAAUAAGAAAAAUAAAAGGGGUUCGGUACGAAUGGAAGAAUCAAAUGACAUUGAUUAGCUAUCCAGGUGUGGAUUGCUAAUGGUAUCAAUGAGGUUUCAUCAGUGCCAGUAUUUUCUUAAAUAUUGGAAGACUAAUGGUAUCAAUAUAGUCUAGCCCAAUAUUGGAAGACAAAUGAUGCUAAUAAGAUUUAUUAGUUUCGGCGAUUACCUUCUAGCAACAGAUUCAGAAAAGGGAAAUAUUGAUUAGCUAUUCCAAAAGAAUGAGAUAAGCUAAUGAUACUAAGAAAGGAAUAUUUUGUUAUCAAGUGAAAAUUGAUUUAUAAAAAGAUGGUGUUCGCAAACGGUUGAGUUGUGUUGAGAUUUCCAAGAUGGAAUUAUUCUUGGCAAAUGAAAUAGGAUAUUAGAUGAAUAUUGGUAAUAGAUGGAAAAUAUAUGGUAUAAAAGAGGUUUAUGAUGAAUUUUAUAUAUCAAAAGAAAUUCCAUAGAGUUUAUUAUCUGUCAUUGUUAUUAAUUGUUACUAUCUUUUAUAUUUAUGUGUACAUGUUAAUUUUUAUUUUCAGGUCCAUCAGGGUCGCGUCAAGAAUAAUACUAGUUUUAAUAUCUUUUGCUUUUGACCAUGUAAAUUAUUUGUAAAUUAAAAGACUGGUCUCCUAAAACUUGAGAUGUAAUAGUAAUCCGUAAAUUUGAAUGUAUGUCUUUACUCUAAUGGUUGAAGCUCUUAGUACCUAUUUGACCAUGCAUGUUUCAUGAUUGGAAUUGAAUCUUUCAUUUGAACUACAUUAUAUGAUGUUAUUGAAUAAGAUGUUUUGUGUUGUUGAUAAUGAGUUGGGUUGAGACCCAUGAUGAUUGGGUCGUGAUUUUGAGUUAUGAGCUGUGAGUUAGUAGAAGUGUAAACAGGGUUUAUGUCGAUAACUUGGGACAUACUAGUAUAGAGGAGACUUUGCUGAAAUUUUGGUGGAACCUGUAUAUAUAUAUAUAUAUAUAUAUAUAUAUAUAUAUAUAUAUAUAUAUAUAUAUAAAUUACCUCAAAAAUUUCCAAUGUAUCGCGAAAUUGGAUGUGGAAAAUCAGGGUUGUUACAAUUUAGCUCCUCUAAGUCCAAAGUCAAAGCUUGAAGAUUUUAUGCAAGGCUACUUCUCCUUUUUUAGGAAAAUAGUUGUUGAAAUACUUAAAUAUAAAUUAUCUACUUAGGAAAGGACUAUUUUGUAGGAAAAGGGGAUUAGGGUUUCCUAUCAAAUAAAAACAAAGAGAUAAAGGAGGGGGGUUGGCCAAAAAAGAGAAGAAAACACAUUUUUUCCUCCAAAAACCCAAAACCAUGCAUUCUUCUUUCCAUUUGAUUAGCUUUUCAAUAGACAUGCAAGGCUACGCUCUUUUUCUUGGUUGCAAGGACACAUAAACCUUUGGAUUUCAAGAAUUAUGAGAUUUAUUUUACCUUUUCUUUUCAGUUUAUAUGACGAAUAUGUUUGUUUUCCUAUGCUUAUUUCUUAUGAUUGUUUUAAUUGCUAGAGCGGACUCUAAAUUAUUAUUGUAAACAAUCUAUUGCUAAGUUUGCCAUCCAAAUCGGAGUGUGGUAUAUAAACUUGUGAAGCAAUGGAGUUUAAUAAUUGUAGCGGAGCUAUGUUAUUAAUCUUAGGGAAAACAUUCGAUCAAAUCAAACAUGUAUUGUAGACAGUUAUGUGUCUAGAUGAAUCAACUUAUCUAGUUCUUAAGGCUAUCAUUCAAUUAAAUUACUAGUAUGGACAUUGUGGAUGUUUGAUGGUUAGGGUUAGUUACAUUGUGGAUCGGUUAACUAACUAGCAUUAAGAAAAGAUAAAUAUUCAACAUAUAAAUUUAUGUAUCAUUUCAAUUAUUGAUUUUGAUUUUCAUAGAUGGACGUUUACUUGAAACCAAGGUUUGUACUCUUGAUAGUUUUAUAAUUUAUUUAAUUUAGCUUGAUUGUUUAAUUUUGUUAUAGCGUAGAUAACCUCAACCCCCUAAAUUGCACAUCGUCUAACAUAGAAAUAUGAACCAAACCUUCUUCGUAGGAUCAACCCCUUACUUGCUUUAUACUAUAUGUUUAAGCUAGGGUAAUUAAUUUGUAUGACCGUGACAUCGCAACAAUAACAUUGAGACAUGCAUCACUUUAAAAAGAAAGGUCUUUCAGCUCAUCAAAGUUGGAUGGAUCACUUUUGAUGAUGCACUCAAUAUGAAUUGAAAUCCUCUUCCCAACCAUGCUCCGGGAAGUAGAAAAGUCAAUGUUGUAGAGACAAGAAGGAAGGAAGCAAAAGCUAUAAGGAUAGCCAUGAGCGAGUUAUACAACGUGUUAAAGCUAACUCUCAAAACACUAAUCACAAAAACAAGCCUAAGAAAAUAAUGGUGACUUCUGUCUAUAUCACCAACACAAUGGGCAUGUCAUUGAUUAUUGUGAAGAAUUUCACAAUGAAGUGUUAAGUAAGAUGGCACAAGGAUUGCUAAUAAUUGACACUUUUGAAGAAAAUAUGGAGGGAUGGAUGGUGGUUGGGAAAGUAUGUUGAUAUCAACCAAGAAUAUGCCACUAAAAUUGGUUUUAACCAAGCGGAUGGUAGACAUAAAGGGAAAUUAUAAUGUUUUCCCUUAUUAUUAUGACCAAUCCCAUCCUACCAGAGUUUCUGCACCAAUUUCCUUCUUGAAAUUGAAGGGUUAACUAUAAAUGGGAGGUGUUUCACCCCUGAAGAAUUAGAAAACCAGCAGAAAACUAAGGCAAAUGAUGUAAUGAAUUUAACCAAAAAUUAUGAGGCUAAAAACCAAUGAGUGAGGAGGAAGUUACCGAGUUUCUGAAACUAAUGAAGCAUGGUGAGUAUAGUGUGGUAGAUCAGUUGAAAAAGACACCAACCAUAAUUUCCCUGAUGUCUUUAAUCCUAAGCUCAAAACUACACCGAAAUGCACUCCAAAAAGACCUCAAUAAAGCUUAUAUCCCUCAAGACAUGAAAUAAAAUUCUAUGUAACAUUUAAUAGGAAGAAUCCAAUUUGCCAAUUACUUGUAUUUCACUAAAGAUGAACUUGAUCUCGAGGGAACUAGGCAUAACAAGCUAUUAUACAUCAUGGUGAAAUGUAAAGAUUGUGUUGUCCCCAAAGUGCUUAUACACAAUAAGUCUUCUCUAAAAGUUUUACCAAAACAUGUAAUGGAACACCAAGGCCCAUUAUUGGAAGCAUUGAUGUUGAUUUGGUUAUUAGCUCGUAAGUGUUUCAAGUAACCAUGCAAGUUAUGGACAUCCACCCUUCCUACAACAUGUUAUUAGAAAGUUUAUAGAUACAUAUAAUAGGUGUGGUAUCAUCCUCCUUACACUAAAGGAUCAAGUUUAUCAUCAAUGGUAACCAUGAUGUCUAAAGAGGUUAUGACAAUUAUAAAGAAUGUGGUAGUUCCGUAUAUUUGAGGCUGAAACAAUAUAGAAGGUGACCUAUAUAUAUUUGAAGUUCUAAAUACUAAGUGGGUACUUGAAAACACCGUACAGAACACACCAAAACUUUUAGAAGCCGCAAUCAUGGCAUCAAAAUGCUUCCUAAACCAUGGUUUGCCUUUUUAAUAUAACCCAAUCACCAUUAUGCCUGAGAGGAUAAACAUUAGAAAGUUGAGAGCAACUGAUCAAAGAUUUGAGUUGUGGUUCAUGCUCGUGAGGAAGAACUUUGCAAGAGAAAAAAGAAUUUAAAAAGAAAAAAGAAUGGCCCAGAUUAAGGGAAAGGAACUUGAUGAGGAAGCAUUGAAGAUUCUGCAUACCUAGGAAAAUUUCCCACAACCAAUAAAUAUAAUAAGAGCAGGAUAAGAACUAAAGGAUUUGGAGAGAAAAAUUGUUAAUGCUAUAAUCAAUUGUCUAGAAAAAGCUAAAAAAGUUAAUGAAAGUACUUUUGAGCUAUUCUUACCCAAGUCAAUUAUCAACUCCCUCAAAGAGACUCCUAUAGAAAGUUUUGCAAGGAAGCUAACUGAAGGAGAAUAGUUGAAUAAUUGAGAGACUCAAAAUAUCAUGAUUGUUCUCCGAAAGUAAUUUCAUCCAAGAAUGCUUAUAUCUAACAUGCUUAGUUUAUAUAUGCUUUUCAUGAGUCUUUUCCUUCUUUGUUUUUGUUUUUACAUGUUCACCCAAUUGAUAAUCUUGGCUCAAGACAUUAGUUUGGAGACCUUAUAUGAGUUUGAGUCACCCUUUCAAUUUUAAUAAGAUCAUGCAUUUUUCUUUCAUCUGUUGCCUUCACUUACUCUUAUUUUUUCAUAUAAAAACAAUUUUCACUCUCAGAAAAUUUGAAAGCAGAACCUCAAUAAACAUGCAAACUCAUCACAUUGAGAAUAAUUAGUCAAAUCUUGAUAAAAACACAAUUGCUAUGGAUGAGGAAGAGUUUGGAGAGGAAGACAUUAGAGAAUUCUCUAAUAUAAUUUAGCAGUAUGAGAAGGCCUUAAAACCCAUUGAAGAAAGAUUAGAAAUGGUGGAUGUUGACACUAAGUGUGGAAAAAAAGGAUUGAAGAUUGGAAUGCAGAUUGUUCCCAAAUAAAGAGAUGGUUUGGUAGCUUUGUUGAAAGAGUUCUCUGAUGUGUUUUCUUGGAUAUACAACAAUAUGUUUGAACUAGAUACUAGUAUUGUGGUACACAGGUUGCCUCUAAUAAAGGGGUGCAAUCUUGCCAGACAUCCUAAUUAAGGUAAAAAAAAAAGGGUGAAAGUUUUCUAGAAGUGGUCAAAUACCCUCAAUGGGUAUCAAACAUAGUAGCAGUGCCUAAGAAAGGUAAUAAAAUUAGGUAUAUGUGGAUUUUAGGGAUUUGUGUAGAGCUAGCCUAAAAGAUGACUUUCAAUUCCCUCACAUUGACAUGUUUGUACACAAUGCUGCCAAGAAAUCCACUUACUCUUUCAUGGAUGGAUUCUCAAGUUAUAACCAAAUCAAGAUGGCCAAAAAAGACAAGGAAAAGACUACCAUCGUUACCCUAUGGAGAACUUUCUGGUACAAGGUAAUGCCAUUUGGUUUGAAAAAUGCUGGAGUCAUAUAUCAGCGAGCAAUGGUAACACUUUUUCAUGAUAUCAUGCAUAAAAGGAUUGAAGUAUACAUUAAUGAUAUGAUAGCCUAAACCCAAAUGGAAGAGGAUUACGUGCAAAUUUUAAGAAAACUCUUUGAGAGAUUGAGGAAAUAUCAAUUAAAGUUGAAUCCAGCAAAAUAUACAUUUAGGGUUAAAUAUGGGAAGUUAUUCAAAUUUGUGGUAAGUAAUAGAGGAAUCAAGGUAAACCCAAAUAAAGUCAAAGACAUCUAAGAAAUGUCAGCACUCAAUACCAAUAAAGAAAUAGGGGGAUUUUUAGGGAGACUGAACUAUAUAGCAUGUUUUGUCUUCUAGUUAACUAUAUGCAAACCGAUCUUUAGGUUGUUAAGGAAGAAUAACCUUGGAAUUCAGCAUGAAGAUUAUCAAGAGGCUUUUGAUAAGAUUAAGCAAUCAAUACCUUGUGAACCCACAUUUGCUAGUACCACCAAUUCCUAGUAAACCCCCGAUACUAUACUUAACAAUCAAUUAAACAAAUAGAUGUUGUAUUAGGACAACAUGAUGAUAUUGGAAGAAAAAAACAAGUCAUUUAUUACAUCAAUAAGAAGUUCACUAUUUGAGCUUUCAUAAUUUCUCUAGAUGAUAGAAAGUACCCUAACUCAAUUUGUAAAUCCCGGAAAAAAAAAAUAAAGGCUGGAUUAAAUUAAAGGAAAUAAACUAAACUAGAAAGAAGUGGGGGAAAAAUGAAUACACUUAAAAAAAUAGAGCCUAAAUGCAAAUAAGAAUAAUUAUAGAGCACAAGUACUCCUCUUCUUACCAAAAAUAGAUCUGCAAAUAACGUAAAGAAAGAAAAAAAGGAGUUUUUAUAUUCAUUUUUACAAAUCAAGAUUUCAAAAACCCAUCCAAGAUUAAGGGUUAUAGGUAGAAUAAACACCGGUGGGAAAGGGAUUAACAAGAAGAGAAGAGGGGAGGGCCGGCUGUCAUUAGAAAGAAAAGGAGGGAUCAAAACUUUGAUUCGUACCGGGUAAGGUAUUCUAAAUUUUCUCUUAUGAGUCAUUUCAAGUUGAUUAUGAGUUGAUGCCUAGAUGUUAAUUUAUAGAUUUUAGUUCUUAGACUUGAAUUGAGGAAAAAGUAUGAGUUGCUAAAUUAAAGAACUUCAUGUGUUGUGUGUAAAUGGAAAGGUUGACGAAUCUGGACAGUUUCGUCUCUUGACUUUCAGAGAGAUUUCGGGUAGGAGGAUGAAGGAAAUAGGAUCAGAUUCCUCAUAGAAAUUGUAGUUUUGAAUGUUGGCUAACUAAUGAAAUUGGUUUUGCUCAAUUUGGAGUUAUAGAACUCCAGCUAUGGGUCACCAAUCAAGACUGGGUCAUGAUAGACCCUAUAGGGUAGUAGGUCUUGUUCGUUGAUGAGAAAUUUUGACUGUCUUAGAGGAAGAAAUGGGUUCUCCUUCCUUCAGAGAACUUGUAGCCUCAUGUCUUAGCUUUCCAACUAGACUAAUCUCGCUUGAAUCAGAGUUCUAUCACUCUAGAUAUAGUUAAAAAUCUAAGGAGAGGUUGGAUAGUGGACAGUAACAGUUUAAUGUAUAGACGGUAACAGUUCAAAAACGAGACAGUAACAGUUCAAAAAUAAGACAGUGACAAUUCAAUGUCUAGACAGUAACAAUUGGACAGUAACAGUUAAAUGUCUAGACAGUAACAGUUGGAUAGUAAUAGUUCAAUAUCUAGACAAUAACAGUUCAAAAACGAGACAAUAAUUUAAGCAGAAAUAGUUCAUAUAUAUAUAUAUAUAUAUAUAUAUAUAUAAAGGAAUGAUAACUGCAGUUGCACAAAGAAUGACAAUAUUAAUGGGUGAAAUAAGAAAAACGUAAAAUAUUUAAAAAAAUGACUGAAAGAAAGACUUAUUGGUGUUGAUAUGUUUAUAAUAAAGCAUAUCCUGGAGUGAGGAGAAUUUAUGAGAUAAACCUGUGAAUUGCAAGAGGGACUAGAGGCGUGGUGCAACAGCAGGGGAGUACGAGUAAAGCUUCUAUUGCAGGUAGGUGAAUCGCACCUGUACUUCCUAGUUAAUUUCAUGAUUUAUUUAUAUUACCAAUGUGAAAUGUGAAUUACUGAAUGUAUGGGUAUUCAAGGUGAAAAGUUGUGUGAAUUGCCAAAUGAUGAAAUUAUCACUGACAAAGGAAAUAUAAGAAGUCCGAUUUGAGGCGUAAACUAGCAUACAUUUAGUGUAUGUUAGGAUCCCGGAUAAGGGGAUCGCCAUGAUUGGACUAGCAUACAUUCAGUGUAUGUUAGUAUCCCGGGUAAAGGGAUCACCAUGUAUGGACUAGCAUACAUUCAGUGUAUGUUAGGAUCCCAGGUAAGGGGAUCACCAUGUAUUGGCUAGCAUACAUUUAGUGUAUGUUAGGAUCCCGGAUAAGGAGAUCGCCACGGUUGGACUAGCAUACAUUUAGUGUAUGUUAGGAACUCGGGUAAAGGGAUCACCAUGUAUUGGCUAACAUACAUUUAGUGUAUGUUAGGAUCCCGGAUAAGGGGAUCACCUUACAUCGACUCAUAUGGGGUGAUGAUGAUGGUACUAGUGAAAUUGGUAUCGGUAAUGUGAUAAGAAAAAAUAAUCAUGUUCGAUCUCAUAAAGUCUGGAAUGAAGGUUGAAAGUGGCAAAGGGAACAAUUUUUAAUAGUUGGAUAAGGAAGGGAUUCUAAUAAAAACUAGAAGGGAGAAGCGAAUGAACUAUGAAUGCAUGUUACCCUGUUAAAAAUGUUAGAUAUUCAUGUUGUUAUAUUUAUUGUAAUAUUCACCUUUUAAUAAUAUGUAUUUUGUUUCAAGAUCAUCGCAUGCAUGACAGGAGUAGAUCCUAGCUUAUGUUCCCUUCUUGUAAUCUAGGUUUUAGGGAGUAUACCCUUGUAUUUUGUAAACAUGAAAAUGUUUGUAUAACUUAAUUUGUAUAAUUAAUGUUUAAACUUGAUUGAAUGAAUUUAACCAUAUAGUUCAUAUAACCAUACUUCAUGCUUAUGUAACUAUAUUUAUUUAUGUUUAUCUAUCCAUAAUGAUAUUUUGUUAUAUAAUGCAUAUUGUAAAUAUUGUGGUUGAUAGGUGUGAGUAUAAGUAUGGAAAUUAAAACCCAGGAUAAUUGGGUCGGGAAUUAAGUUAUGAGAUGCUAGCUAUUAAAAGUGUAAAUAAAUUCAAGUCCAUAACUUGGGACCUUCCGGUAUAGGGGGGAACUGAUGUGCAUCAUGGGAAUUAUAAUCCAUCUCGUAAAGCUGAAUCUAAUAUGAAAGAGGGUGCAGAUGGUCCAAUGACAAGAGCGAGAGCAAAACAACUACAACGGGCCAUGACGAAUCAAAUUGCAAUGAUUGAAGCUGCGUCGGAGUUAAAAAUUAGCAAUCAGUUUGAAAUUGGUUCAAGGGUGCUUAUUUGCCUACAAAUUGGAACUUGGAGAUGGGAAAAGCCUUUAAUGGUUCUUUUCAUGUUGGGCUACUUGUAUUUGGAUUGAUAAUGCAAGUGAAGGAAUUGAUGUUGUUUACGGUCAGAACAGUAGAUGGAUUUGAACCCGAAUUUGAAGUCAUCCAAUGCAUGUGAAAACAAGAUUUAUGUAGGAAAAAUUCAAGUUCAGAACGUGAUCUUUCUAGAUUGUCCAACCAUGAUUGCAUUGGACUUUUGUGUCAAAAGUUAUGGUUGUUUUAAAUUUGGUCUGCUUAUGUUUUAGAAAUGUCAAAAAAAAUGUUUGUUAGUUAAAUUUGUCUACUUACUUUAUUAAAAGUCUAGUUUUUAGGCUUGACUUCUGUCAUGUUGAAUUCAUCUAACUUUGGAGGGAUGUUCCAAAGAUAAAUAUGUAUCAGAAUAUGUAAUAAACAUUUUUGGCCAAGAUUUGAAACUUAAUUCAGAGAAUUAAGAGUUGUUCUUCCAAAUUCAUUUUGUGAAGAACCCUACCUGACUUGUCACUCUUCAAUCACAAAGAGUGUGGCGUCGAAAUCCUAGAUUGAUCUUUGUGGCAUCCAGAUCGACUUAUCAAAGUAUCAUUCUAGUCUAUCCUCCAUCUUAUUAACCUUAAAUCACUACAAUCCAACAUAAAUACAAAAGAAAGACAAUACAACCAGACCCCUCCUUCAUCCAUUUCAUUAGAAUCAUUGUUGUCGAUUUUCGAAUCUUUCACGGCACAUCAUCUGGUAUUAGAGCAUCAGUUGUGAUCUAAGACAGGAGCCAAAAACAACAACAAGAAGAAGAAAGGUUUGCUAGAAUUGAGGUUGAUAAACUUAAUUAUGGCUGGAGAUAAAGAAGAUUUGCCAAAAGGGUUAGUUUGGAACAGGCAUAGGUUAUGGGCUUACAACGAUCUCAUGCUGAGAUUCGGGAUGAAAUGACUGGAAUUCGUGAACAUUGAAUACCCUUAUACAAAUGAUGCAAAGAAAUAAUUUGCAACCCCAACAGAGGCAAGCACUUAGGGUGCCACGAAAUGAUAUUAUAGAAGCUGACGAAGAUCCAAAUGGGGAUCAUGGAGAGCUGAUCAAUGGAGAUGAGGUUGAAACUAAAGAUGAAGAUGAGGUACAAGUGGCUGAACAAGAAGAGGAUUUCGAACCAGUCAAAGGAGAUUUGUUGGUUGUUCAACGAGUUCUGAAUGCACAAAUUGAUGUUAGUGAUGAGCAACGCGAGAACAUCUUUCAUACUCGAUGUCAGAUUCAAGAUAAGGUGUGUGGGAUGAUCAUUGAUAAUGGAAGUUGCACUAAUGUUGCGUCAACUACCUUGGUGGAGAAAUUGGGUUUAACUACCCUUCCACAUCCCAGACCCUAUAGUUUGCGAUGGCUGAAUGAGAAUGGGGAGAUUCGGGUGACAAAGCAAGUUCGUGUACCUUUUUCCAUUAAAACCUAUCACGAUGAGGUUUUGUGUGACGUUGCGCCAAUGUCAGCUAGCCAUUUGUUACUGGGAUGUGACCUACAAUGGACGAAAGAACACUUAUUCUUUUAUGCUGAAUCGAAAGAAGGUGAACUUGUUACCACUGAGUUCUCAACAAGUUAGAGAGGAUCAGUUACGAAGCCAACAAAAGGAGGUGACAUCACGUAAGGGGUUGUUGUUAGCCAAAAAAGGAGACAUCAAACAAGCAUUAGCCACGACAGGGAUUGUUUUCAUGGUCUGGGCAAAGCAACUACUACAAGUAAAGGAUUGGACUUACCAAGAUAGAUUAAGGAAUUACUUGAAGAAUUUAAAGAUGUGUUUCUAGAUGUAUUACCUAAAGGGUUACCACCUAUUCGUGGAAUUGAGCAUCAAAUUGAUUUGGUGUCGAGAGCUUCACUUCCUAAUAAACCAGCAUACAGAUGUAAUCCAGAGGAAGCGAAAGAGAUUCAAAGGUAGGUCGGUAAGCUCUUAGAAAAGGGCUAUGUGCAAGAAUCACUUAGUCCAUGUUUCGUACCUACUUUGCUUGUACCGAAGAAAGAUGGUACCAUAAGGAUGUGUAUGGACAGUCACGUUAUCAACAAAAUAACAGUUAAGUAUCGAUUUCCUAUACCUAGACUUGAUGAUUUGCUUGAUGAGUUGCAUGGUGCCGCAUUGUUUUCUAAAGUCGAUUUUCGAAUCGUACUUGGAUUACCAAGAACACAACAUGGGAAGGAUUCAAUAAUGGUGGUGGUUGAUCGAUUCUCCAAAAUGUCCCAUUUCAUUCCUUGUAACAAAACUGACGAUGCGUAUAUGUUGCUGAUUUGUUCUUUCAAGAGAUUGUUCGUUUGCAUGGAGUUCCUAAAAGCAUUGUCUCUGAUCGUGAUACAAAGUUCUUAAGCCACUUUUGGAAGACUCUUUGGAGGAAACUUGGAACGAAGUUACUUUUCAGUACGGCAUGUCAUCCACAAACUGAUGGACAAACUGAGGUAGUAAAUCGAACUUUAUCUUCUUUGUUACGAGCUGUUAUACAUAAGAAUUUGAAGAGUUGGGAUACUUGUUUGCCUAUUGUGGAGUUUGCAUAUAAUCGUAGUGUGCAUGGGGCCAUAAAAUUUUCACCAUUUGAGGUUGUGUAUGGCUUUAAUCCUUGUGUUCCUAUUGAUCUUGUUCAUAUUCCAAUUGAUGAGAGGACAUCUAUGGAUGGAAUUAGAAAGGUAGAAUUGAUGAAGAAACUACAUGAGCAGGUUCGACUACAUAUUGAGGAGAAAACAACAAAGUAUGCUAAACAAGCUAACAAAGGGCGAAAGAUGGCCAGGUUUGAACUUGGAGAUCUUGUUUGGAUUCAUAUUAGUAAGGGCAGAUUUCCAAGCAAACGUAAGUCCAAGUUGAUGCCAAGAGCUGAUGGUCCAUUUCGGAUUAUAGAGAAGGUGAAUGAAAAUGCGUAUAAGGUAGAUCUUCCUGGUGAUUACAACGUAUCAGCUACUUUUAAUGUGAAAGACUUGACUCCAUACUUGGAUGAUGAAGACGAUUCUGAUUUGAGGAAAAAUCAUUAUCAACCCGGGGCUGAUGAUGUGCAUCAUGGGAAUUAUAAUCCAUCUUGUAAAGCUGAAUCUAAUAUGCAAGAGGGUGCAGAUGGUCCAAUGACAAGAGCGAGAGCAAAACAACUAAAACGGGCCAUGACGAAUCAAAUUGCAAUGAUUGAAGCUGCGUCGGAGUUAAAAAUUAGCAAUCAGUUUGAAAUUGGUUCAAGGGUGCUUAUUUGCCUACAAUUGGAACUUGGAGAUGGGAAAAACCUUUAAUGGUUCUUUUCAUGCUGGGCUACUUGUAUUUGGAUUGAUAAUGCAAGUGAAGGAAUUUAUGUUGUUUACGGUCAGAACAGUAGAUGGAUUUGAACCCGAAUUUGAAGUCAUCCAAUGCAUGUGAAAACAAGAUUUAUGUAGGAAAAAUUCAAGUUCAGAACGUGAUCUUUCUAGAUUGUCCAACCAUGAUUGCAUUAUACUUUUGUGUCAAAAGUUAUGGCUGUUUUAAAUUUGGUCUACUUAUGUUUUAGAAAUGUUAAAAAAAACGUGUGUUAGUUAAAUUUAUCUACUUACUUUAUUAAAAGUCUAGUUUUUAGGCUUGACUUCUGUCAUGUUGAAUUCACCUAACUUUGGAGGGAUGUUCCCAAGAUAAAUAUGUAUCAGAAUAUGUAAUAAACAUUUUUGGCCAAGAUUUGAAAAUUAAUUCAGAGAAUUAAGAGUUGUUCUUUCAAAUUCAUUUUGUGAAGAACCCUACCUGACUUAUCACUGUUCAAUCACAAAGAGUAUGGCGUCAAAAUCCUAGAUUGAUCUUUGUGGCGUCCAGAUCGACUUAUCAAAAUAUCAUUAUAGUUUAUCCUCCAUCUUAUUUACCUUAAAUCACUAUAAUCCAGCAUAAAUACCAAAAGAAAGACAAUACAACCAGACCCCUCCUUCAUCCAUUUCGUUAGAAUCAUUGUUGCCGAGUUUUGAAUCUUUCACGGCACAUCAUCAGUUGGGACCUUCCGGUAUAGGGGGAACUGAUGUGCAUCAUGGGAAUUAUAAUCCAUCUCGUAAAGCUGAAUCUAAUAUGCAAGAGGGUGCAGAUGGUCCAAUGACAAGAGCGAGAGCAAAACAACUACAACGGGCCAUGACGAAUCAAAUUGCAAUGAUUGAAGCUGUAAAUAAAUUCAAGUCCAUAACUUGGGACCUUCCGGUAUAGGGGGGAACUCCGUCGAAAUUCUGGUAGAUUUUAAUACGAAGACCGUGAACAUAUAUAUAUAUACAAAAAAAAAUUAUCAUGUUUUUUUUUUCGAUUGACAUGAGAUUGUUGUUUUAUAUCCCGGAAUUGGGGAUGUUACACAAUCCAAUUGCAAUUCAGUUGCACUAACAAUAUAACUAAGUAUAAAGCAUGCACUUAUGGCUUAGAGGCAAUUACAGAAAUAAAAAUAAAGAAGUUAAAUGUCUAUAGAGACUCAAUGCUGAUAAUCUUUCAAGUUAAAAGAGAAUGACAAACUACAGAUGAAAAGUUGAGGUCAUAUCAGAAAUAUCUUUCCAAACUAAUAAAGGACUUUGAUGAUAUAGAAUUUAUAUAUUUGGGAAAGGACAAAAACCAAUUUGUUGAUGCUCUAACAACUUUGACCACUAUGGAUCAGAUUGAUUGUGAGGAUCAAGUACAACCAGUAUGUAUAAGAGUUUGAAAUUUCCCUACUUGCUGCUACUUAGUAGAGGAAGAAAUAGAUGAGAAACCUUGAUACUGCAACGCAAAGAAAUUUGUCCAGUAUUGAGAAUAUCCCAAGGGGGCAUCCAAGUUAGAUCGAAAGACAUUAUAAAGAAUAGCUAUAGAUUACUACUUAGAUGGAGAAUUUUUAUAUAAAAGGCGUUUGAUGAGAUUUUUCUGAGAUGUCUAAAUGAAAAAGAAACAAGGAAAACACUAUAUGAAAUACAUGAUGGAAUUUGUUCUACACACAUAAAUGGACAUAUGAUGACCAGACAGAUCUAGAGGGCUGGGUAUUUUUUGAUAACCAUGGAGAGGGAUUGCAUAGAUUACAUGAGAAAGUGUCAUAAAUGCCACGUAUAUAGAGAUAAAAUCAAUGUGUUACCUAUAACGACCCGACUUUUUUUCACGGCCAAAAAUUGCUGGAAUUGUUUUUUAAUCGUCUGCUUUCUAGAUGUUUUUCACCAUAUCAUUCUUUAGAUUUAUUAUUGCAUUUUGUUCAUUAACAAAGCACAAUUUAUGUAGGAUAACGUAAAUCAACAUUCUCAUAGAACGGAUUCUCAAUACACGUGCCCAUAAUAUUAUAUUUCCAUACUCGUAGGUUUACAUUACAUCAUAUCGACAUACUUAUAAAUUCACAUUCUUGUUCUAAUCUUGUUAUCAUCAAGAGUUCAUACAAGAGUGUCGACAUACUCAUAAAUUCACAUUCUUGUUCUAAUCUCGUUAUCAUCACGAGUUCAUACAAGAGUGUCGACAUACUCAUAAAUUCACAUUCUUGUUCUAAUCUCGUUAUCAUCACGAGUUCAUACAAGAGUGUCGACAUACUCAUAAAUUUACAUUCUUGUUCUAAUCUCGUUAUCAUCACGAGUUCAUACAAGAGUGUCGAACAACAGGUUACACAACUAGUACUUUCAUUAUCCUGACCUCAUGUAAUUUCACAACAUGACAUCCUCAUUAGAUGAAUAUCUCAAAUGUAUAUUCAUAUCCAUCAUAUCAACUUAUUUGUACAUUCACAUCCAUGUACCAUUUUAAUUUUUCAUUACUAGUCUUUAUAAAAAAGGUUGGAUGACUAAUUGAGUGAUUAACACAUCCGUUCAUGUAGAACUCAUAUCACCUAUAGCAUACGAAUAUAUAGUUCUUUUCAAAACAUGUGAGCCACGAAAUGAAUUUCCUUACGCACUAUGUUGGUAUGAUGUCCCUGUUACAACACAAGGUAAUUUCAAGCAUUAUAGGCAAUUUCAGAGAACAUAGCAAAGCAAUACUAAUGUUACAUUUCAUUCAUGGACCAAAAGAGCAUAAUUCUUUCAUUUGUCCUUGCUUAUGUAAAUACUACCGUUAAUAAUUCAUCAAUUAUCAAGGCUAAUUACAAUACUCAAACCCGAUCAUUCAUCUCUAAUACCAUUAGCCAAACUAAUAUUAUUCUUUGUUCAAAACAUAACAAUCGUAGUUCUUUUAUAUACUUAGUAUAUACAAAACGAAGUAUACAUGAACGCAUCAGCUCUUAAAACUAACUCAUAACACUCAAAUUUAUUAUCCUCUUAGGAUGCCAUCAGUCGAAGCCAAUCGUUUAUUCAUCCUGGUCAUCCACUUAGGAUGCUAUUAGUUGAAGCUAGUCAUUAUUCAUCUCGAUUAGCCAUUUAUGAUGUCAUUUACCGAAACUAAUCAUUUAUUCAUCCUGGUCAUCCACUUAAGGUGCCAUUAGUUGUAGUUAAUCAUUUGUUCAUCCCGAUUAUCCACUUAGGAUGCUAUUAACCGAAGCUAGUCAUUUAUUCAUCUCAAUUAGCCAUUUAUGAUGCCAUUUACCGAAGCUAAUCAUUUAUUCAUCCUAGUCAUCCACUUAGGGUGCCAUUAGUUGUAGCUAAUCAUUUGUUCAUCCCGAUCAUCAACUUAGGAUGCUAUUAGCCGAUCCUAGUCAUUUAUUUAUUUCGAUUAUCUAUUUAGGAUGCCAUUUACCAAAGCUAAUCAUUUAUUCAUCCUGAUCAUCCACUUAGGGUUUCAUUAGCUAAAGCUAGUCAUUUACUCAUCCCAUCCAUCCACUUUGGAUGCCAUUAGCCAAAGAUAAUCAUUUGUUCAUCCCGGCCAUCCACUUACGAUGCCAUUAGCCAAAGCUAAGCAAUCACUUGUUCUGGUCAUCCAUUCGGAUGUCAUUAGCCGAAGCUAAUCAUUUGUUCAUCUCGAUCAUCCGAUUUGGAUGCCAUUAACUGGAGCUAAUCAAUCAUUUAUAUAGACCAUCCAUUCGAAUGCCAUUAGUCGAAGCUAAUUAAUCAUUUGUCCCGGUCAUUCAUUCGGAUGCCAUUAGUCGAAGCUAAUCAUUUGUUCAUCCCCAGUCAUCCGUUUUUGAUGCCAUUAGUCAUAGCUAAUCAUUUGAUCAUCUCAGUCAUCCGCGUAGGAUGCUAUUAGCCGAAACCAAUCGUCAACCAAUCAAACGUUCCAGAGGCAGUUUGUGAAAUCACUAUAACAAGGUAAUAUCCCUUGAUUUGCUCAUUCAAACGAUUCAUAACAAUUUGACAUUCACUAUAACAUAAUAGAAGACCCUUCAUGGUAUUCGUACAAGCGUUCUGUAAUAAUUUAACAUUCAGUAACAUGAUAAUAGAUCCUUUGUAAUACACAAACAAACAUUCCAUAACAGUUUAGCAUUCAGUAUAACACAACAAUACUCUUCGUAUUAUUCAUCCAACCAUUUAUGACAAUUAAUGUUCAAUACAAUGCAAAAAUAGAUCCCUCGUAAUACUCAUACAACCAUUCAUGAUAAUUUCAUUCAAUAUAAUACAAUGGUAGAUCCUUCGUAAAACAUUCGUCAUAAUUACAUUCAAUAUAAUAAAAUGGUACAUCCUUCGUAAUACUCCAACAACCAUUCGUCACAAUUACAUUCAAUAAAAAUACAACAGUAUAUCCUUCGUAAUACUCAUACUACCAUUCAUCAGCAACCCAAAUUCAUAAUAGCCCAAUCAACAUCUCAUAUUCGGUUUAAUAUUCUUCACAACACAAUAAUAUAUCCACCUCAAAAUGGGGCAUUUUAGAACAUUAACAUUUUCAUCAUUGUUUCAACAUUCAUCAAGAACUUGAUCGACAUUUCAUAGUCGUUUCGACAAUCAUCAAGAAUUCAAUCAAACACUUCAUCGUUGUUUCAUCAUUCAACAACGAUUUAAUAAAAUAUCAUCAUAAGUAAAUCAUUUCAAAACAUAAACAUCAUACAAGAAAAAGGUGGAAACCAUCUACUAGAUCCAUUUGUAGGUUGUCCUUGUCCCGGUGAUGGUUCGAUCCAGGCCACACCAUCUAAGACAUCAAUGGCUACAAAUCAGUACAUUUGCAUCUUUAAAUCACACUCGUCACCAUACUUAUUUCAAGAGUCCAUAUAUUCAUAUUCAAGUGUUCUACAUUUUACACCAUUAUACAAUGAAAUUGUUACAAGCAUUUAAGUCAUUUCUGCACGGGGGGGUCUAUUGUAGAAAAUCAGCAGCGAAACUGAUUUGCGGCUGGCCACACAAUUCGACAAUGAAAACUGAUUCGUUGCAGGCCGUACAGUUUGGCAGUAAAAAUUGGUAUACUGCAGGCCGCACAUUUCAAAAGCAAAAACUAGCUUACUGUCAGCCGCACAAUUCGGCAGCGAAAAUGUUUCACUACAAGCACCACAAUUUCAGCAACAAAUGCUACUUCGUUGCAGCCAACACGCUUUUGGAAACAAAUGCUAAUUCGUUGUAGGCAACUCAAUUUUGGCAGCGAAUCACACUUUUGCUGGAGACAACACAACUUCGACAGCGAACGCAAAUUCACUGCAAACAAACAUAACUUAGGCGGCAAAACCUGAUUCAUUGUGGACAACAUAAUUCGACAGGGAAAACCUGAUUCAUUGCAUACAACACAAAUUCGGCAGCGAACACCUAAUUAACUGCGGACAACACAAUUCGACAGUGAACACCUGAUUCGUUGCGCAUAACGAACACCUGAUUCGCUACAGAUAACACAAAUUAAGUUGCGAACACCUGGUUCGUUGCGCCCAACACAAAUUCAACAACGAACACCUGAUUCGCUGCGAAUAACACAAAUUUGGCAAAGAACUACCUGAUUCACUAUGGACAACACAAUUUGACACCGAACACUUGAUUCAUUACGGAUAACACAAAUUCAACAAUGAACACGUGAUUCGAUGUGGAUAACACAAAUUUAGCAGCGAACACCUUAUUCGCUACAGAAUACCUAAUUUGGUAGCAAACACCUAAUUCGCUGCCGAUAACACAAUUCGUUCUUUGGAUCCAAUAGAAUCAUACAAUUUUAACAUGAACACACAUGAAAAUUCAAUUCCAGCAUAUAUUUUGUCAUUAGAUUCCUAUGUCAGCUGUAACAUGCUUUCGAGGCUACAAACACACAUGUUUUUUGUGCUUAACAUCCACCAACACAUUUUCAUACAAGUUCUUCAGCCACAUAUACAGAAUUCAUGACAUUAACACAUUUAUAAUUUUGUUUUGGUUUCACAUAAUUAAGCAACUAUAACAAGAUCAUCAUCUUUGCUUUUAAUCCAUUUAAUAUAUGUUAUGCCCAACCCUCACCAUAGCUGGCCACCUCUCUAAGUUUUUUGCAUUUAAAAUUAUACAUUUCAUCUAUUAAAUGUUCUGAAAUUAGGUCCCCAAUUCAACCCCAUUUUCAUCCCUCAUCCUUGUCUAGUUUUCCUUAACAGUUGGUGUGAGAAUCUUAAGCUAUUUACUUUAGGUUUUCUUCUCCUUUUUUAGUUUUAAGGCCCCAAGAACAAAUGGAGGAGUAGUAUGGUUCAUACCUCACAAAUUUAACAAGUUCAAUGCAAGUUGUGGUGCCCUGCUCUCCCUUUCUUUUUUGCUUUUCUUCCUUCUCUCUCUUGUUGUCCAACCGGUGAUAAGACCAAAAGCUUGAUGUCUUCUCCCAAGUGCAGGAGUGUCGAAGUAAUAAAUAACCCGGCAAGACCGCGGUUGAACCACAAAGAGGUUAAUUCUAUAAAUUAUAAAUAACAAUACAACAAUAAUAACAAUAAUAGUAAUAGUAAUAGUAAUAGUAAUAAUAGUAAUAAUAAUAAUAAUAAUAAUAAUAAUACUCAGUACGUGGCGUUGAUAUACCUGAGAAUGAUCUAAAAGAUCGGGUCACAGGUUUCAAGCCUCUAUACUGAUUUUAUGAAAAGAUCAAAGAGAUAUAUUAUAUAAUAUAAACAAAUUUCUGAUGCGAAUGAACAAGGUAAGACCAACAAUGUCUGGAUCCUUGAUCAAACACAGAGCAUACUUAAUGUACAUAAAAUAUAACAAGAAUGUAAAUAAUAAUAAUAAUAAUAAUAACACUAGUAGUAGUAGUAGUAGUAGUAGUAGUAGUAGUAAAGAAGAAGAGGAAGAAGUUAAUGAGAGUUUUGAGAUGGAAGAUUAACGUAAGGAUUAAACAAUGAUAAAAACAAUUGUCAAGGUUAGAGGAUCCACUAAUGGUAUUUUAAACAAGUAUAAUAUAAACUCUUAUUACUCAAGUUGAAAACCACACACGAAGGAGGUUCCAAUCAAUUGUUAACAUGAUUACAUUAGUUAUCUUAUUCGAAUAAUGCUAAUACUUGUAAAUGUUGUCAGGCAUUCAUGAUUAUAACUUAAAUUAACAACAAAUCAAGUUCCUUUUAUAGCUCAGGUGUCGGUUAUACCAUACAGUAUGGGCUAUAAAAGUGCCAAGUAUUUGUUGUACCAAGUCUUAUACAACAUAAAUCUAGAUUAACCUUUAACAAGCAAAGUAUUAAAAGUGAACAAGAUAACAAAUAUAAAACAUGUUAAUAUCAAGCAUUAAAGUCCAUGUUGAGUUUAUACUAUACUUAUUUUUACACCAUUAGUGUACCCUUUUCACCUUGACAUAAUAGAUUUAGCUAAACAUAAUGAAAGAAAGAAACAUAAAUAAACAAGAUAAGAACAUAAUUAUACAAAUAAAGGAAAGGAAAUGAAGAGCAUAAACAAGAGAUUAAUAUAACAUCAAAUAAAACUUAAACAUUACAAAAUACAAAGAAAGAGAGCAAGAGCAUGAUCUUGAUCUGAACACCAAGAUGCCUAAAUGCAUGGCAAAUGCCUCCUUUUAUAGGCCAAAAUUUGAAACUAUUGAUUUGAUGAAUAAAUGUUGAGUGGGUGGCCAUAUCUUGACUUGAUGAAAAUCCUUAUCUUCUUGUCUAAAUAAAACGUCAUUGCUAACAUCAGAACUGGAACCAUAUGUACUUAUAAAAGUUCUAGGAAAUUAUCUUAGCUUUCUAGGAAAAAAAAGUUGAGGUCAUUUGAAUUUCUAGAACUCAAGAUAUGGGCUGAACACUGAACAGUGUCUAGGCUACAGGACAGAUUUGAACUUCUACGUUGUUGCUAUAAUUUGGACUUGAAAACAACCUUCUUAGAUCUUGGUGUCCACAUGAAAGUUGUAGGCCUAUGUCUUACCAAAUCUGUGUAAGCAUUUGAGAUCAUUUGGACAUCUAGAACUCGAGAUAUGACCCAAUUACCGAAUAGUGUUCCAGUUUGGACUGCACCAACAUCUCUUUUUCUAAGCUUCACCCUUCUUUAUCUUCAAAAUUUUAGUAGUUGAAUUCAUCAAUCAAUCCUUUGAUUUAUGUGAUAGGCCUGCAUUUAAGAUGAACAUUUACCAUAUAUUAAGGUAUCUUAUAGUAUUAGACUUGUUAUUAUAAAACAUGCUUUAGUUAAGGAGUUAUUGAUACUUUAAGUACAAAAUGAUGAUAUAAAACCUUGAUAAACAUGCACUUUUAAGUACUAAUCACAGCCCCCCAACCAGCUUAUUACUAGUCCCUAGUAAUCAAAGCAUUAAAAUAGAAAAACAAUUUGCAAGUUCCACAAAGCAAGGCAUUCAUCAUUCAACUUCCAUUAAUCUAUCCAGAUAAAACAAACUCUCAUUCAAAUUUCUAUUCCUUGCUUCAUAUUCUUAAACAAGAUAUUAAUAAACCUUCUUUUUAUGUGCUCAAUAUAUGAAAACAUAGAUGAUGGGGCUUUUGUUGGAAGAAAACAAUAUUAUGUUCAAAUGUUUAAGGUUAACUUCCUUUGGUUGGGAUUAUUAUUAUUAUUACUUUUCUUUUUUUCUUUUUUUGUUUUUUUUUAUAUACACAUACAACUUAAAACACAAUGUAUCUUUAACCCAUGUAACGAGUUUUAGGCUAAUGACUCCCAGACCAGUUGGUCUUAGGGCAUUAGGUGUUGAGACACCCCUACGAGCUUAGCAACUCGGGUUGCAGAUACUGAUACGUAGAUAGUGCAAUGUUUGAUUCCCUUAAGCUUUUCUCCUUAACCCAUGUAACAAGCUUUGGGCCAAUAGCUCCCAAGUCAGUUGACUUUAGGGUAUUAGGUGUUAAAACACCCCUUCGGGCUUAAUUGCUUAGGUUAGGAGGCUACGAAACCAAACUUAUCUACGUUUUUAUUAUCAUCAUAUAUUAUCAUUUUUUUUUUUUUUGCAAAUUUAUACUAUCCCUUUCCCUUAGUUGUUACCUUCAACAAAAGAACAUAAUAAUGUAAUAAUCCAAUGUGCAACCCACAAUCAUAUGUUAAAGUGUGUGUGUGAAAAUGAAGGUUUAAGAAUACUUGUUAAAUGAGUAUAUGAAGCAAAUCAAGUGAUAACAAUGCGAGAGUUUGUAAACCUGAAUAUUUCAAGAAGUAUUAUGAUAGACCUUGGUAAUGAUACUUACUAAGAUGCGUCUCUAGAGUCAAUAAAAUUUCCUCCUUACUCUGCCAUCCUAAUAAGGAUACUUACUAAGAUGCGUCUCAAGAGUUAAUAAAACUGACUCCUUACUCUGCCAUCCUAAUAACAAUUUUGUCAAAUGGUUUUAAUAAUAGCAAAAACAGUUAGUAAGUUAGUUUUUUUUUUAACUACUACCCUCUCCCCCCAACCAAAACGAGACAUUGUCCUCAAUGUCCUAAGGUAGAAAGAUAGAGUAUAGAAGACAUCACCUGAAACAGCGAACAAUGACAAACCUGAAACACACUUAAACAAAUAUAAGAAGUAACAAAACAAAAUAAUAUGCUAUUAAUAAAACCAAAAGACACAAGGUUUCACAAAUGAAGGCUCAAAUCUAAUCUAAGCUUUUUACGGCUUUCCUUAGUUGACCAAUUUAGGCGACUCAUGCAGGGAUCAAUGACAGGGAUGAAAGAUUGUAGUUGGUCAAUCAAUUGUUCAGCAGUAGCAGCAGAGAUUAUGAUUUGUCGUGCCGAAGAUGUUAGAAAUUCCUGUUCCACAGCUUGAUCAAGAAAAGACAACAAUUAUCAUAAAAACCAUUAACAUUUAACAAACCUAUAGGUUUAUGGUGAAUGUGCAGUUGGGCCCAAGAGGAAAUAUGAAAGAUCUCUUCCAAUGUGCCCAGACCACCUGGUAAGGCAAUGAAGGCAUCAGCAUGGUUAAACAUGGAUUCAGUCGAUCAGACAUUGUGGGACCUGUAGUUCCUCUCCAAUUGUUUUUCCAAUGAUGUCCCCAUUUGCUAAAGCUUUGGGGACAACCCCCAAAACUUGACUGCCUCCUAAAAAUGCAGCCAUUGACACACCUCCCAUUAACCCAAGGCUACCUCCCCAUACACUAAAUGAAUCUUUCUCUCAGCUAGUACCCGACCAAGAUGAUUUGCUGAUUCUAAAAACUCUUUUUCUUUCCCAGGACUGGAUCCACCAAAACACAAAUAUUUCUUAUGUGAUGACUUGAGGAACCUGCCAUUUCUACACACUUCUAUAUUUGAUGAAUGUAUGGGUUGAGUAGAAAUGAAGGGAAGGAAAGAAGAAUUUAUAGAUGAGAAUUGAAAAUGCAAUCAUACCACCUAUAUGUAGGCCAGCUGUUGUCUCACACUCUCUCUCUUUAUUAUUUAUUUUGAAAAAAGCAUGUAUGUACAGGUAGUUGUGAUUGUGGCUCACAUCUUCCCUUGGUUUUACGUCCAAGAACGGCUUAAACGCCCUCUAUGGGUCGGGGAUAGGCUUCCCAUCCAGUUUUCUUAAAAACUGGCAAACAGGGUCUUUUUUAGUCAGAUUCCCAAGACUAAGUCGAUCAUGUUCUUUAUGGAAUUGUGGCCAUAAAUCAUGAAUUACACGAUGCACAUCUCCACUAGGAUGCGUCUCAAGGGUCAACAAAAGAUUAUCUAAAGACCCCUUACUCAGGCCAUCCUUAAUGAAUUGUAUCUUAUCUUCACGGUUUACAGAUACCAUUCCUAAAGAACGACAUGUUGCAUUACAAGUCCAUCUGGCACAUCUGUGACAGACUUUCAGUCGUUUUGCACGACGUUUCUUUGCAAAAGUGCUUGUACCUGUUCCAGGCAUGUGUGAAAUGAAAGAAUUGGAGGACUCACCUGAUAAUCGGACCUUUGCUUCAAUUAGCCAGCGAAUAUCUUCAGGAAUUCCAUGAUUCAUUAACAACCUCAAUCUUGCACACCUAGCACGGUAAAUUUUUGUAAUCGCAUUUGGAGGCAGAGCGGGAAAAUACCUUUUCAACUUUUCAAGAGUGGUGUCCAUUUUCAAAAGAGAAUUGGAGAAGAGAUUCAAAGAAGGGAGAAAGAGCACAGAAUUGUACAAAUAUAUACAGAUAUCAGUUAUUUGGGAAACUGAAAGAACCGACUUAAGUCACGGAGUACCGUUAUCCGCCAUUUGACCGGGGUGAGAGAGAGACUAGCAAAACAAAACAAAAAAAACACAAAACAAUGUGAGAAAAAGAAUCAAUCUUUAUAUACAGGAUCACUCAAUUCAAUAGAGUCAUUUUCAACUGAAAAAUUGUCAAAAUAAACUUUCAAACGAUGCCCAUUUACCUUGAAAACAUUGCCAUUCUUUGGAUUCUCAAUAUCACAGGCCCUAUAUGGAUACACAUGUUUCACAAUGAAAGGACCGCUCCAUCUUGAUCUUAGUUUUCCAGGAAAUAAAUGGAGUCGAGAAUUAUAAAGCAAGACUUUUUGACCAACAUUAAUGUUUUUCUCAGUAUUUUCUUGUCAUGAAAGUCUUUGAUUCUUGCUUUAUGAAUUCUUGAAUUGUCAUAUGCAUCAUUUCUUAUUUCCUCAAGCUCAUUUAUUUGCAAUUUUCGCAGCUGACUAGCAUCAUCAAGGUUUGAAUUGAAAGCUUUAAUAGCCCAAUAAGCUUUAUGUUCAAUUUCCACAGGCAAGUGACAAGGUUUUCCAUAGACUAGUCUAUAAGGUGACAUACCUAAUGAUGUUUUAUAAGCAGUUCGAUAAGCCCAAAGUGCAUCAUUAAGUCUUAAAGACCAGUCUUUCCUAUUAGGGUUCACUGUUUUCUCCAAGAUUUGUUUGAUCUCCCUAUUAGCAAGCUCUACUUGUCCACUUGUCUGAGGGUGAUAAGGGGUGGCAACUUUGUGUGUGAUUCCAUAUUUCUUCAUUAAAGAAUCAAAUGGCUUGUUGCAGAAAUGUGUUCCACCAUCACUUAUCAUGGCUCGAGGGAUUCCAAAUCGACUCAAAAUAUUGUCUUUCAAAAACUUUAUCACUGUUUUGUGAUCAUUGUUUCGACUUGGAAUUGCCUCUAUCCAUUUUGAAACAUAAUCUACUGCGACUAAUAUGUACACGAAACCAAAUGAUGGAGGAAAUGGACCCAUGAAAUCUAUACCCCAACAGUCAAAGAUCUCAAUGACAAGAAUAGGAUUUAAAGGCAUCAUGUGACGUUUUGAAAUAGAUCCCAACUUUUGACAAUUUUCACAAGUCUUGCAGAAUGCAUGUGAGUCCUUGAACAUGGUGGGCCAGUAAAAUCCACUUUGUAAGAUUUUUGCAGUUGUCUUUUUGAUGAGAAAUGACCCCCACAUGCCUCAGAAUGACAAAAUUUAAUGACACUACUUACCUCAUUGUCAGGAAUGCAUCUUCGAAAUAUUUGAUCAGGACAAUAUUUGAAUAAAUAAGGGUCAUCCCAAUAAAAGUUCUUCACUUCGUUCAAGAACUUUCUUUUGUCUUGGGUACUCCAAUGAGCUGGCAAUUGUCCUGAAACAAGAAAAUUAACAAUAUUAGCAAACCAAGGCAUCGUAGAAACGGAAAGUAAAGAUUCAUCAGGAAAGUAGUCAUCGAUUGGUGUGAUGUCAGAUUUGAAUCUGUUGUCAAUCUUGACAAAUGAUCUGCAACAACAUUUUCGGUGCCUUUCUUGUCUUUGAUUGUGAUAUCAAAUUCUUGAAGUAACAAAAUCCACCGCACCAAUCUAGCCUUAGAAUCUUUCUUAGAAAGAAGAUAUUUCAAUGCUGCAUGAUCACUAAAAACAACAACAGGUGAGCCAACAAGAUAAGACUGAAUUUAUCACAUGCAAAUACUACUGCAAGUAAUUCUUUUUCAGUGGUGUGUAAUUCAUUUGAGCACUAUUUAAAGUUUUACUUGCAUAGUAAAUCACAUAAGGUUUCUUAUCUUUUCUUUGUCCCAAGACAGCACCCAUGGCAUAAUCACUAGCGUCACACAUUAUUUCAAAAGGUAAUGACCAAUCAGGAGGUUGAAUGAUAGGAGCAGAAGUAAGCAAGUUUUUAAGUUUAACAAAGGCUUCUUCACAAUGUUCAGUCCAUUCAAAAAUAUUAUCCUUUGUUAGAAGGUUACUCAAGGGCUUAGAUAUUACACUAAAAUCUUUGAUGAACCUUCUGUAAAAACCAGCAUGUCCUAAGAAUGAUCUAACAUCCUUAACAGAUUUUGGUGUUGGUAAGUUGGCAAUUAACUCGAUUUUAGAUUUGUCAACCUCAAUUCCUUUUGAUGAAACAAUGUGACCAAGUACAAUGUCGUUUGUUACCAUAAAGUGACAUUUUUUCCAAUUCAGUACAAGAUUCUUCUCUUCGCACCUGCUCAAAACCUUUUCUAAGUUAGUCAAACAAUCACCAAAUGAAUCACCAAAAACAAAAAAAUCUCAUCCAUAAACAUCUCAAGAAAACGUUCAACCAUAUCACUGAAUAUGCUAAGCAUGCAUCUUUGAAACGUGGUUGUUGCAUUACAUAAUCCAAAAGGCAGCCUUCGAUAUGCAAAAGGAACAAAUGGACAUGUGAAAGUAGUCUUCUCUUGAUCUUCCAAUGCAAUUUCAAUUUGAGAUUAAAUGGUAACGGCUUCAAUUCAGGUUUUAGUGGUUGAACACUUGAAGGUAUGGACUCAAUUGAUCGUGGUGGCAAUUCUUCAAUUUGUGGUCUCCAAUCACAUGCCUGUAAUUCUUCCUGAAAAUAGACCAUUUGCAAAUCAUAAGAUUCAUUAAUCUCAGUUUCACUAGAAGUGGUUUGAAAUUGAUCAUGAACUAAUUUUUCAAUAAAGUCCACUUCUUGUAAAUCAUUAUCAUCUCCAGGUUGGUUGUAAAUGUUGAAAAUAUUCAUCUCCAAUGUCAUGUUUCCAAAUGAUAGCUUCAUCAAUCCAUUCCUACAAUUAAUCAAUGCAUUAGAAGUGGCAAGAAAUUAAUGGACGUCCUAAAAUGACCGGAAUUGAAUUACAUGCUUCAACAGGUUGUGUAUCCAAGACAACAAAAUCUACAGGGUAAAUGAAUUUAUCAACUUGUACUAACACAUCCUCAACUAUUCCUCUAGGCACUUUUACAUAUCUAUCAGCAAGUAAAAGAGUUAUAGAGGUUGGUUUUAACUCACCUAUUAAGCAAGUCUCGAUACCUAUCCCAACAUUGAUAAAAUGUUUCUUCUGGUUUUUAAGUGAAAGUAAUGAUUUGUCUUUUGAAAGAGUUUGUUCUGUGAGACAGAAAAAACUUCUUUAAAAAUUGUUGUUGCAUUUCAUCCCAAGCAUGAAUAGAUCCUGGUCUCAAAUUUUGUAGCCAUGUUUUAGCUUUAUCUUUUAAUGAAAAAGGAAAAAGCUUUAAUUUAAUGGUGUUCAUGCUAUAAUUUGAGUUAUUAUAGGUAUUACAGACCUCCUCAAAUUCCCUUAAAUGCAAGUAUAGAUUUUAUAGGUCUAAACCAUGAAAAGAAAGGUACAAGUUGAAUAAUGCCUGGCUUAAAAUUAAAAUGAGAUGCAUCAAGAGGGACAACUAUGCAUGAGGGUGCACUUGUUCUUUUGGGAUUCAUAUGGUCUCUCAGUGUUCUCAUACGGUUAUUCUCAUUAUUCUCAUUAUCAAGCGAUUGAUUAUCUUCUUCGGCCAUAUUUUCUGAAAAUGAUGAGAAUACACUACAAAGUCGACCACUUAAUGUACGUGACCAAACUCACAUGCACGUGUGAGAAUAAAAGGAAGAAAAGAAAAGAGAAGAAAAAGAAACAAACAAAACAAAAGAAACAAAAGUUAGAUAAAAUGAAAAGUGAAAAGAGAAAAUAAAUUAAAUAUUAUAAUUUAUACAAUAAUUUACCUCCCCGGCAACGGCGCCAAAAAACUUGACAUGACCAAAAGCUUGAUGUCUUCUCCCAAGUGCAGGAGUGUCGAAGUAAUAAAUAACCCGGCAAGACCGGGGUAGAAACUACAGAGAGGUUAAUUCUAUAAAUUAUAAAUAACAAUACAACAAUAAUAACAGUAAUAGUAAUAGUAAUAGUAAUAGUAAUAGUAAUAGUAAUAGUAAUAUUAAUAAUAAUAAUAAUACUCAGCACGUGGCGUUGUCAUACCUGAGAAUGAUCUAAAAGAUCGAGUCACAGGUUUCCAGCCUAUAUAUUGAUUUUAUGAAAAGAUCAAAGAGAUAUAUUAUAUAAUAUAAACAGAUUUCUGAUGCAAAUGAACAAGGUAAGACCAACAAUGUCAGGAUCCUUGAUCAAACACAAAGCAUACUUAAUGUACAUAAAAUAUAACAAGAAUGUAAAUAAUAAUAAUAAUAAUAAUAAUAAUAAUAAUAAUAAUAGUAAUAAAGAAGAAGAUGAAGAAGUUAAUGAGAGCUUUGAGAUGAAAGAUUAAUGUAAGGAUUAAACAAUGAUAAAAACAAAUGUUAAGGUUAGAGGAUCCACUAAUGGUAUUUCAAACAAGUAUAGUAUACACUCUUAUUACUCAACUUGGAAACCACACAUGAAAAAGGUUCCAAUCAAUUGUUAACAUGAUUACAUUAGUUAUCUUAUUCAAAUAAUGUUAAUACUUGUAAAUGUUGUCAGGCAUUUAUGAUUAUAACUUAAAUUAACAACAAAUCAAGUUCCUUUCAUAGCUCAGGUGUCGGUUAUACCAUACAGUAUGGGCUAUAAAAGUGCCAAGUAUUUGUUGUACCAAGUCUUAUACAACAUAAAUCUAGAUUAAACUUUAACAAGCAAAGUAUUAAAAGUGAACAAGAUAACAAAUAUAAAACAUGUUAAUAUCAAGCAUUAAAGUCCAUGUUGAGUUUAUACUAUACUUAUUUUUACACCAUUAGUGUACCCUUUUCACCUUGACAUAAUAGAUUUAGCUAAACAUAAUGAAAGAAAGAAACAUAAAUAAACAAGAUAAGAACAUAAUUAUACAAAUAAAGGAAAGGAAAUGAAGAGCAUAAACAAGAGAUUAAUAUAACAUCAAAUAAAACUUAAACAUUACAAAAUACAAAGAAAAGAGAGUAAGAGCAUGAUCUUGAUCUGAACACCAAGAUGUCUAAAUGCAUGACAAAUGCCUCCUUUUAUAGGCCAAAAUUUGAAACUAUUGAUUUGAUAAAUAAUUGUUGAGUGGAUGGCCACAUCUUGACUUGGUGAAAAUCCUUAUCUUCUUGUCUAAAUAAAACGUCAUUUCUAACAUCAGAACUAGAACCAUAUGUACUCAUGAAAGUUCUAGGAAAUUCUCUUAGCUUUCCAGGAAAAAAAAGUUGAGGUCAUUUGGAAUUCUAGAACUCAAGAUAUGGGCUGAACACUGAACAGUGUCUGGGCUGCAGGACAUAUUCGAACUUCUCCGUUGUUGCUAUAAUUUGGACUUAAAAACGGCCUUCUUAGAUCUUGGUCUCCACAUGAAAGUUGUAGGCUUAUGUCUUACCAAACUGUGUAAAACUUUGAGAUCAUUUGGACAUCUAGAACUCGAGAUAUGACCCAAUUACCGAACAAUGCUCCAGUUUGGACUACACCAACAUCUCUUUUCUAAGCUUCACCCUUCUUUAUCUUCAAAAUUUCAGUAGUUGAAUUCAUCAAUCAAUCAUUUGAUUUAUGUGAUAGGCCUGCAUUUAAGAUGAAUAUUUACCAUAUAUUAAGGUAUCUUAUAGUAUUAGACUUGUUAUUAUAAAACAUGCUUUAGUUAAGGAGUUAUUGAUACUUUAAGUACAAAAUGAUGAUAUAAAACCUUGAUAAACAUGCAAUUUUAAGUACUAAUCAACCAGCCUCUAAGCUCCGUUUUCUCCUAGGUUUUUGGUUUUGUCUACUUCUUCUUACUCACUUUUCCCUCCAAGCUCAGGGAAAGUAGCAUGCAGGCUGGUUGGGUUCGGUUUUAUGCUUGAAGGAGGGAUGUGUGUGCUGCAGCCAUGGUUGCUGCCGAUUCUAAAGGAAGGUCUAGGCUCCAGCUUCUACCAUGUUUUCGAUCACUUCUCCUUCCCUCUAGCUCUCUUCUCAUGUAGCACCUUAGGAUAUUUGCAUGUCGUUGGUCGGUUUCGGUAUUCUCUUUAGAAAAAGGUAGAGGGUAUGUUGUAUGCAGGUGGCUGGUUUUGCCUUGGGAAAGAGGGAGAGCGCCUGCUGCAUGCAGUUGACUGCCCAUUUAUAGAAGAGGAAAGGUCACCCUCCCUCUCUCCUUGCAUUUAUACCCCUAUUAAAUAAAAUGGGUAUGUUUGGGUGCUAGAUAUCUCUGGUUCCUAUCCCUCUUUAGAGUUAUCCUAGACUGGUUCCUAUUCCAAUUCUCCUCUAGGAUAGGUCAAUCCAACAUUAAUUUUUGUUGGGUUUUACAGUGCCGCUGCCGAUUCAAAAAUCAACAGCUAAAAACCAUGUCGCUGCUUACACGAUUAAAAGAUUGAUAUCUUCUCCCAAGUGCAGGAAUGUUAAAGUAAUAAAUAACCCGGCAAGACUAGGGUCGAACCAUAUGGAGGUUAACUAUAAUAAUAAUAAUAAUAAUAAUAAUAAUAAUAAGUUAAAGAGGACUUUCAGAUGGAAGAUUAAUGUGAGGAUUUAACAAUGAUAAAAGCAAAUGUCAAGGUUAAAGGAUUCACUAAUAAGUAAUUUUGUCUGAUAAAAACAAUGGAAACCCUCAACUUCUUUUCUCAAGGCAGUUUUGUCUGAUUUAGUCAAUUUUGGUAGUGUUACACCCAACUUUGGAUCGAUGGAGGGAAAACUACAUACCGCCAAAUCAAUCAUGGUUUGAUCCUAGUUGAAGAAUAACACUACCCUUACAGGAUCUAUGACUUGUUUUGCUUCAAUAACCUUCUAUUCACAAUGAUUAAUUCAUGAAGAAUGCACCCCUAGUCAUCCAUUUUAUGCCAAGCUUUAGUUAUGAAGUUCCAAACCUUUUCUAGAAGUUCCAAGAGUUUGUUAGACAUCUAGAGAGUUGGAAAAUAUAAGAAUAAGAUACAAGAAUCAUGUCCUAACAAAAAAAAAGCAAAUAAUAGCAAAUAAUCUCCUAUGAUCUAGUUUUGAAAAACCAUCUUCAAACCCACAAAUGAUUUUACAACUACCUGUCUUUUGAAGUUAUAAAGAAAAAGAAAUCACAGAGGAAAAGGGAGGAGAGAAUCACAGAGAAAAGGAGGAGAAAAACUUAGAGCAUUAAAUCGCCAAAAGUCUCUUGAUAUAAGGGCUAUGAAAGAUUGAUAAGAAAUGGAGAGAAAGAGGUAGAAGGCAAAGCUCUUGAGUUCAAGAGUAAAUAUAGAAAUACUAGAGGACUAGAAGCAUGAGGAAAGAGCAAAACAUUCCAAGCAAAAAAGGCAACAUUGUUAAGGUAUUCCUCAAACUUUGAUGAGGGGGUGGAGCUUAAUGAGCACACCCCCUCCCUUUUUAUUAUGUUUAUUAGAUGUUUAUAUUUGAUGUUCAUUAUGCAUUUCCUAUUUAGUUGCUAAAGCAACAUUUGGUUGAUUUAAAAUUCUCAGAGGAAAAAACAUCAUAUUUUGUUCUUAAAGCGUAUUGUUAAAUACAACCUUAAGACAAUUUUAAAGCCUUUAAUUUUCAGUUAAGAGCGUGUUUGGCAAACAUGUCCUACUGAUUUUUCAAUAGUUUUUAUUUUCUCAUAUUUUAUGCCUUUUCCAAACUGAACUCAAAUAAUUUUCAAAAAUUCUAAAUAAAUUCAAGGAUCAUUUUAAAAUUAUUUAUGGUUCCUCACAAGUGUUCCAACUAUUUUAUUUAAUAUUUAGAAUGUGAAUUAGAAUGUAAGACACUAACCCAUUAUUAAAUACACUUGCCAAUUUUUUCCUUAUUCAAAAAUUUAGAAAAACAAAUACAUGAAAUAUAUAAAUUCCUUGUUUGAAAAAUAAAUACAAAAAACAUGUUGUUAUUAUUUUGCAUACGAUCAAAUUUUGAAAUUUUCAUGCAUACUUCAUAAAAAAUAAAAAAGUGCAUUUUUUUCAUACUUUAAAAAUAUAAAAAAACAAUAUAUUAAUGGGUAUCACAAGUUUGUGAUUAUCCAUUAGUGUUUGACUAAAAUUUCAAAAACACCAUAAAAAUCAAUUUGUUAAUUAAUAUUUGGGGUGUGAAUUUUACAAAGUAAUGCAUAUUCCGAUAUUAAAAUGAAUUGACAAGAAUACACCUUUAAUUUUUAAGAUAAAGAUCUUUUUACCGAAGAAAACUUUUCUUAAACCUUAGACAAACUAGUGAAUAAAAACAUAACUCAGACAAAUAAACAAUGUAGCUUACCAUAAGUAAGGUAUAUUAGGGGUGAUAUGUUCUCCUUUUACACAACUAGUCUCCUUUUCAAUACUCUAAGACCAAUUAGGAUUUUUAGUGAUCAAAAUACUAUCUAACGACUCGAUCCUUUUUAUUUAUUGAUAAAUGAUAAGAAUUCUUGUUCUUUCCACCCAAACCAUGAAAAUUCUGAUCCAAGAGGAUGAUCAUCGCAACGUUGUACAUAUACAACAAAUCAUAAUAGAGUAUGAUGUUAUGGACAAACAUCGCAUAACUAGAUCAACCCAAUUAUGAUUAAAUCCCUUCUAUAAUAUAACACCCCCACCAAAAAAACCAUUCAAACUUGUCAUUAAUUCUUUGUUGAAGAAGAAGACAUGGAAAAAGAGUGAGGAAAGAAUAUAUGUAAGUUAGGGUUUCUAGAAGGAAAUAAAAAUACGGUGUUUCCAACAUUACAUGGCUAUCAUGAGCAAGCUAAAUUGUUUACACUUGCACAAAAUGUGUGCAAGCACAUGCAUUUUUGGAGUGUGUAUGUAAGUCUUUUUUAUUAUUCAAAAUGAAAGUAACAUUGAUUGUAGCUAUUUUAGCCAUUAACACAACCAUUAUUCAUAUAUUUUUGUCAAUGUCAAUUGUCUUAUAUAAAUGGUGGCCAAGUUGUUUGAAUACUUUUUUUUUUUUAGUGGUUUCGUUGACAUAAAUUAAUGUUUAGCUUUAAAAAUUGUAUGUUUCGAGAACUUGAUGGAAUAAUUUAUAAAAAAAAUUUGCUAUUAGAUUUUUCUAACUUCAAUCAUGUUGAAUGCUAUGAAGUUAAUCCGAAUGACAAGCAGAGUUGUUGAUGUUUGAUAAAAAGUAGUAUGAGUUAGCAAAUUGAAUUUACAUUUUGGCUUAAUAUUUCUUGUAAUUAUAAUUCUUAAGUAUACAAUGAUUGUAAUCAUUUUAAAUGGUCCACCCCUUAAGAUUGUUUCUCUUUUUUCUUGUUCUUCAGAAUAAUUUAAUAACUUUAAGAAUUUUAUUAUAUUUUAAUUAAUAUUGUUUUGGGUAUUGAAUUUUAUUAUUAAUAGAAAUUUAAUAGUGAAGAUGUUUUAUUUUUAUUGUGUUUAUUCUUGCAUUUCAUUCAAUUUAAUUAGGUGAAAAACUUCUCUCGGAAUAAUGAUAAAUAAUUUAAAAAAUGGACAAUACCAUUAAUAUUAGGAAAAAUAAUAUUUAAGUACAUCAAAAUAUAAAAAACAUCAUAGAAAACAUAUUUAAUUUGAUUACAAUUUUUUUCCAAAUAAAAAAGCAGUAUAAUAUAAACACAUUUUCUAGUUUUCUGAGUUGGAUAAAUCUUAUGAAACUUUAAGAAAUGAACAUGUAUUUUUUUUCACUGAAAAAACUGAAAAAAGAGAAGAAAACUAAAAAGAAUAAAGGAAAAUUGUUUUUUUUUUUGCUAUAUGUGUUUGGAAAAACAAUCGUAAGAAAUGGACACGUAACACAGUUUUAACCCAAUUGAAAGUAGUUACACUGUGAUAUUUUUAAUGCACAAUGAAGACUGGGCCUACCAGUUCAAGCCAAGCCCACAAAACUAGAGAGGAACACAGAAAAGGGCUUGCAUUUUAUCCUCACAAUACUAGUCUCCAUAUUUCGCAAAAUCUCAUCCCCUCACUCGCCCCCGAAUUCAUGUCUCUCUUCAUAGCCAAUGGCAAUGGUGGUGGAGGCCGAAUCCUCUACACCAACCCCACGAGACACCACCCUUACACCCACACUCCAUGCCGUCCUCAUUUCCUGUUUCCACUCAGAAGAUCACCUCAAGAUCACCUCCAUAUAGUCUCAGCUUCCAACAAGAAACUUUCCUCUGUCUCUAGAAUUGGCAAGUUCGACAGCAAGAACAGGAGGAGCUCAACUACUUCGACCAAAGAAGAAGAGAAUAAAAGGGACGGUAGUGGUGGUGAUGGAAAUGUUAAUGGUGA